rnacentral:lncRNA from 1 species
UUUUUUUUUUUUUUUUGUUUCUGCUUCUUUCCUUGGUUCCAUGGUUCCAUAUGAGUCAGUUGUGGCAUUAGGUGUAGGGCAUCUAGGGUUUAGACAUUAUCUCUCUCAAAAAUUAUCCACCAUUUCUUGUCUUCUUCCUUGGUUUCACUUUUUUCUUCUCCUUCAUCUUGAACCCUCUACUCUUUUCUCAUUCUUUCCUUUCUAUUUUCUUCCCUCUUAUCUUUCUUUUCUUCUUUUUUCUUCCUUCUUUCUCCCUAUUACCAAGGGAUCUUUCUUCUCUAAUAAUGUUUUGGUUAAAUUAAUUAUAACCCUCAGUGAUUUUACAUAAUGCCAAAUGACCCCUCUAAAGGUUUAAAAUAGCCAUAUAACCCUCUUAUGAUUUUAUGUAAAGUGAAAAAUAGGCGGAAUGCAUAAUUAGUUAUGGCGUUUAUCCCAAACGCACUCUAAAAGUGUUUGUAAUAAAAUUUUAAUCUCCAUGAAACUCUCUUUUGAUUUGUAUAAGUAUUUACUUUACCCUUUGUGGUUUCUGCAUUUAUCCAUGUAAUCCAAUCAUACUUUUAUACAAGGUGUCGCGCCCCAUUUUUUGAUAAAUAAAUAAAAUGGUUUAAAAAAUGUAUUUUUUGAUUCAAUUUGUGAUUGGAAAAUGAAUUGUGAUUUAAAAGAAAAAUGGGUCUAAAUGGGGGUUUGAAAAUGCGACGAUUUGACCCAAAAUUAUAGUUUAAAAAGGGUUUUUGAAAAAAUGGGAGUCGCCACUUGGUAAUGAGUUAAGGUGUACCAAGUCACCUAAAAAUGAAUUUUUUAGGAAAAAGUUGUAAGAAACCCCUUUUAAACGACUCCUAGUCUACGUAAACCAAUGAAAAAGGUUCGGGAGUCACAUUUGACGAAGGGGAAGGCAAGGAUAAAAAUCCAAGGCACCCCUUCGACCUAGUCAAGGCUAGUUGCGUUGAUUUAAUCAAAGAUUUUCUUGUUUUAACCAAAGAAUUUAUUACACUUGGAUGUACUACAUGAAUGCAAAACCCUAGACCUAGGGGUAUUGGGGGAAAUUUCCCUUCAAAGGUUGAGUGGUGCCAAUCACAUUAAUUGUGAAGCCCAAUAACGAUCCUUUGAAGAAGUCACGAAUAAUGCGAGUGGGAUGCAAAUGAAUGGAAUGCAUGUAUGCAAUGUGAGGAUAUGUGAAAUGAGAAGAAUAAUAAAAAUAAUGGGAUGCAAGUGGAGGUGUGCAAAUGUAUUUACAAGUGUUUGUGUGCAAGUGAAGGGAUAAAAGGUGUACGUGUGCAAAUGGGAGAAAAAAAUGAAAGUGUAAUGAUAGAGUGGACUUAGAAUGCAUGAGCCUAGGGAAUUCAUGCAUAUUGGGACGGGGAGACCUAAAUCGUGACUCAAUUUGCCCUUUUAUAGAGGGAAUACAAGCGUGCUAAGGCUUAGAGAAAGCCACACUCGUCUAUAUCCCAUAUUUAGGGGGACUCUCAAGCAAAUGAACCUUAUAACUAGCAUGAAAUGCAAAAAUCCUAAAAUGGAGGGAAAAGGGGUUCGAGGGGCAUGUAAAAUGAUAAAACUAAAAAGAAUGCAUGACAUGUAAUGAACAUGCAAACAUGUACUAACGAGGAGAAAUCCCUAAGGGUCUAGCGUUGGACUAGCCCAUUCUAUGAAUUCCGACUAGCGUUGGACUAGUGGAAACGUACAUUCAUCCAUUCCAUUCAUCCACAUUAUAAAAAGCGAGUAGACAUGUGAAUCACUUAUAAACACGUAGCACAUAACAUUUAGCAUGCUUGACUAGAUGCAAGGACCUAAUAAAGCGAUUAAACACUUAACACGUAGGCAUGCAACCAAACUAAUGAACCUAUUACAUUCACUAACUAAAACAAAAAGGGAAGGGGAAAAUGGACCAAAUUGCUCGCCACAGCCCUAUCUAUUACAAGCCAAGAGGUGUACACAUACCCCAUUAAAAGAAUAAGUUAAUAAAGCAAAAGUAAAUGAAAGGAAUGAAAGGAAUUAAAGAAAUGUAAAGAAAGCAAAGUAGACAUGCAAUUCACUUAGCACCUUGGAUCAUAUAAGAGAGACAAACAAAGAUAAAAGAAAGUUAUACCUCAUCGCAAUGGUAAGCAAAUGAUGGAAAAUGGCUUCAAAACAAAAAAAGGGGUCAAGGCACCAAUUGAAUAGUAAAGUAUAAGGAAAAUCACCAAAAUUCCCCUAAUUGCAACUCAAAUGAAAUCACACAGUGCCUAAUUACCAAGAAAGUGGAAUGAUCCAUCAAAUUCCCAAAAAUAGCAACUAUUAAGGACCCAAUUGCAAUAUUAAUCAAUCACCCAAACCCAAUUCAAACAUUUUAGGAAAUUCAAGGGUCCAAAAGCAAAGAGAGAGGCAAGUAAUGACUCAAAAUGCACCCAUCUUAGGACCUAAUUGCAAGACAUUGGAAUGUAAUUGGGCCAUAAUGCAUUGCUGCAAAAAUCACAGGGACUCAAUUGAUUAGUUUUCUCAAUUUUGUGGGUCAUAAUAGCAUAAAGAGAAACUUGAGGGGGUUAAGAGGCAAUUUUGAAGAAUUAUUUCAUGCAUGCUACGUAGAAACUUAAGAUUCUGCAACUAAACCAAAAGCUACUCCCUUUUAUUUUCCAAAGCUUCGGCAAUGUCCAACAACAAUUACAUCCAUUUCAUCAUACAAACAAAUUCAUCAAACCAGAAAUUGUUGACUAAAUCAAAGCAUGAAAUUUGUUUGCAGGAUUAAGAUGGCAAAUCUGAUUUUGAUCGACAACAAAAGAAAGAAAGAAAACUGCAGCAAGGUUUCUUUCUCUGCAACAUGCUGGGUUUCUCAAAUGCAAUUUCAUAUCCAUCCAAACAUAAGUAGUGGCUCCAAUCAACUAAACCAGGGAUCAAAGUGAGAAGAUAACCACACAUUUUUCCACUUUUAGACAUGACACUUCAGUACAGAAUUCGUAGGAAAAGAAUAUGUUCAAUCUAAAAACGAAUUUCUGCAACUUUCUUGACUAUGCUUUGAAAUUUCAGCAAUCUCAUGCGGCCAGAUUCAAGGAUCAUAUCAAACAAGGAUCCAGCCGAAAACACAUACUAAGCAUACAAGGGAAAAGGAAAGAAUUGGGCGACAUUACUACAAGCAAACAAGCCAAGGCCAUACAAACUGCAGGUUUAAAGACCAGAAAUUCAUGCAAUUACAAAGAAUCAACGUUCUGCAAUUUUGAUGCAGAAAAUUCGUGUCAGGCUUGAACCAAAGUCAACAGACCCAUCACUCGAAACUCUUAACAACAAUGAAUAUUUUGAUUAACACAACCUAAUUGUAAACACCAAACCAUUGAAACCCCAAACGAGGCGUCAAAUGAGCAAUACAGAAGCCACAACUAGAUUCUUGGGUUUAUCUUUAACAAGCUCCGCAUGAGUCAUCCAAAUCAAAAGCUACCCAUGUCACAAACUCAAUCAAACAUCACAUAACCCUAAAAUUAGAUCUACAAAUGAUCCUAAUCAAAACAAGACCAUACAACCUCAGGUUUCGAACAAGAGAAACGGCAAAUUAAGCUAGCAUGGAGGAACCAGAAAUGAAUGGAAACAAAAAGCGUAGACAGCCACAGCAAGCAAGAAAUUCAAAACCACGACUCAACAAAGAACGAAAAGGAAAGGGACUAAGACACCAAUCUAGGAGAGUACCUACCCGAGCCUUUUUGGAUCAAAAUCCGGACAGGAGAACGCCGUGAAAGAACUGCUGCAGUCGUCCCUUUGCGGUUUCGAAACCGCACCAGUGGAACCGAGCUGUGGAUUUUGGAGCUGAAUUUGGGAGCCUUCCCAACGUUGUUUGUGAAAGUAAUCUGAACAAAGCUUCUUCUAUUAACUACCUAAUGUGUGCAGAAACUGAAAUCUCCUCCAAUUGAGCAAUCAGAAAAAAGAUAAUCACGCUGCGAGCGGUGCCGAAAACCAGCCCGUUCGGAUGAAAUUUUUGGCAGAAAAAUGUUUCUGGUUUUGUUUUUUUUUCUUCCAAACUCAGCCGUCGUUCUACUCUCGGACUCUCCCUCGAUCGUUUCUUUUCCUCGGCCCAAAGUUCCCUUCUUUCUUCCCCGGCUUCCUUGUUUCUUUUCUGGCAGCCCGAAGCUCGCUUUCCCGUCGCUCUCUUUUCACUCUAUCUCUCUCUCGGCCCCUUUGGUGUUGCCCGUCGCUCUUUUCCAGUUUCAGUCACCUCUCUUGCUGCUGCCGAAAGCCCUCUUCUCCUCUGCCUUUUCUCUCUAAACCCUCACGGCUGAUCCUUCCUUCCUACUUGCCCAAAGCCCGUAACCUUCCUUUUGCUGGUUCUCCUUUUCCCGUCACACACACUCUCUACUUCCUCAAGAUUUUUCAGCCGCCACUCUACUCAGCUCUCUGUAUGCUCUCGGUUCCCUCUCUUUCACUCUCUCAGCCUAUCCGUCUCUACCUCUCAAACUCUCAGUUUUUCAAUCUUAGCCGUCACUUUUUUUUUCUCUCUGCCGUCAGUCACUCUAUCUUCUUACUCUCUCCCUUCUCUCUGCCAUCUGUUUUUUUUUCUCUUCCCCUUUUGCUUGUUUCUGAUCUUUCUUUUUGCUUGCAGCCGUCACGUACUCUCUCUCUGUAUGCUCCCCCUGUCGGCUGCUGCCCCAAAAAUGCAACCUCUCUUCCUCUCGGUUUUCUUCCUCAGAAACUCUCCGUAGCUUUUCUUUUUCUUUGCUGUUGUCGACCUUCACUCCCCUUUUGCGGCUAUCCUUCCUCUGUCCAUUUAUAUCAGCAAAACCAACCCUAAAACAACUCAGCCCUCUUGCCAUAUUUGCAGCUAAGGGCCGCUAAAUCCUUUGUUUGCAAGCUGCGUAAAAACGCAGCUUGCAGCCGCGUAUCAUCUUUUUUUUUUUUUUUUUUUCUUUCGAAACUAUUAAUACCAAACGAUAACAUAUAAAUAAUAACAAAUUAACAAAAUUGACAACAAAACCUAAAUAAUAAUAAUAAUGAAAACAAAUUAAAAAAAACAAAUUAAACAAAUAAAAACAACAAAAAUGGCCAUUUUCAAUUUUUCUUCAUUUUCCCUUUUUUUUUUUUCUCUUUCAAAAUAAAUAAACAAAAUGCCAACAGAUUGAACUUAAAAGAAAUGCACGUAUUUUUGUGAACCAUUUUCUUUUUUUUCCUUUUUUUUUUAUUAUUUUUCAUUUUCAUUCUCAUUUUUGCCAUUUUUCCAAGAAAACAUUGAAUUUAAAUCAAAACAAGUAAAACAUAUAUUUAUAUAUUUUUUUUUUGAAUGCUUUUCUUUUCUUUUCGAGAAAUCCUAUGCUAAAAACUUAAAAAUAAUAAUAAUAACACAAAAAAAUUAAAAAAACUAAAAACUAAAAAGUGAAUAAAACGAGCACAAACUAAAAAAAAAAUAAAUAGUAAAUGAAAUUACACCAAAAUUUGGUGUCUACAGUUUGCCCCUCUUUGUCUGAGUUUUGAAAAAACUUGAGACAAAGAAGUAGACACCAAAUACUUACCUGUGUUAUUGGGCUGCAAAAGAUUCCCACGAACAGGAAUUAUAACACGGGACUGACCCGAACAUGAAAAAUAAAACGGGACUGACCCGAUCCAGAAUUGAAAACAGGACUGACCCGAACAUGAAAAAUAAAACGGGACUGACCCGAACAGGAAUUUAAAACGGGACUGACCCGAGCAGGAAUUUAAACGGGACUGGCCCGAACAGAAUUUAAACGGGACUGACCCGAACAGAAAUUUAAACGGGACUGAUCCGAACAAGAAUUUAAACGGGACUGACCCGAACAGAAUUUAAACGGGACUGACCCGAACAGAAAUUUAAAGUUAUGAAUUGAAGUGAGAUGGAGUCUUAGUGGGAUUGACCCAUGUUUACUGGUGAUGUAAAUGAAAGAAGUGAAAUGAAAUGUUAAUGGGACUGACCCAUGUUUGUUAGUGAUGCAAAUAAAAUGCUCACUGGCGGGACUAACUCACGCUCCAGUGGCUGUGAAAACGGAAUGCUCACUAGUUGGGACAAACCAAACGGCUAGUGGCGAAUGCAAAUGAAAGGCACACUAGUGGGACAAACCCAACGGCUAAUGGCGAUGAAAAUAAAAGGCACACUAGUGGGACACACCCAACGGCUAGUGGCAAUGAAAAUAAAAGGCACACUAGUGGGACACACCCAACGGCUAGUGGCGAAUGCAAAUGAAAGGCACACUAGUGGGACAAACCCAACGGCUAAUGGCGAUGAAAAUAAAAGGCACACUAGUGGGACACACCCAACGGCUAGUGGCAAUGAAAAUAAAAGGCACACUAGUGGGACACACCCAACGGCUAGUGGCGAAUGCAAAUGAAAGGCACACUAGUGGGACACACCCAACGGCUAAUGGCGAUGAAAAUAAAAGGCACACUAGUGGGACACACCCAACGGCUAGUGGCAAUGAAAAUAAAAGGCUCACUAGUGGGACAAACCCAACGGCUGGUGGCCAAUGUAAUUAAAAGGCACACUAGUGGGACAAACCCAACGGCUAGCGGUGAUGAAGAUGAAAGGCUCACCAGUGGGACAAACCCAACGGCUGGUGGCAAUGAAAAUAAAAGGCUCACCAGUGGGACAAACCCAACGGCUGGUGGCAAAUGCAAUUAAAAGGCACACUAGUGGGACAAACCCAACGGCUAGCGGCGAUGAAGAUGAAAGGCUCACCAGUGGGACAAACCCAACGGCUGGUGGCAAUGAAGAAUGAAAUGCUUACUGGCGGGACAAACCCAGCUCCAAUGGCAAUGUAAAUGAAAUGUUUUGACAAUCAGACAGUGGGAUUAAACUUGAGCCUGUCGUGAUGAAAUUUGAUUUGAUUUUUUGAUUGAUGAUUUUCUUUUCUUUUUGCUUUUCUUUUUGACUUUUGAGAAUCUUUCCAAAAAAUUAAUUUGCCCCAGUAUGAUGAAUUUUUGCAAUGUGAGUCCAGAGUCGAUUCUGUAUCGCCAUGCUGUUGCAUUUUGACGAAAUUUGCUUGCGACAUUUUCAAUCUGCCUUUGUUCACCAGAGGACUCCUUCCAACAUCGAUUCCAGUGCGAGGUGUGAUUGUUUUCAUCUGUGCCUGCAAUUUUCUGCAAAAGAGAAAAAACAAAAGAAAUUGCCACCAUCAUUUGCCCCGUUUUCCUUUGAGAAUCGUGUAAACAUGAGUCUUUCGACGCCUUUAUCAACUUUUGCUACGACAGCCGAUUGAGUUGGAUUUCUCGCCCUAAGGCUUUUCCGAUUUUCAAACUGACCAGGUAUAUGCUUUGCCAUAUUAUGAAGUUUGUGUAGCUGGCUUGGCGGGAUUUCAACUGUUUCCAAAGGAUGACUGAAUCCAAGUAUACUUUUUGAAAUAAAUCACAGGGAUUGUCAUUUAUCACAAUUCAACGAUAAAAAAUGAGGUAUGCAAGAAAAUUCACAUGUCAUGUAAAAAUGAAUAUGCACAAGAAUGCACAUACAACCAUGUGUGCUUAAAUUCUAAAAAAAAUGUCAUGAAUACAAGUAAUUUGGGAAAAAAUGAGUUUCCUAAGAAUGUAUGUGCAAAAGAAUGUUUUUUCCAAAAUGACACAGCUUUGGCCAACGGAUGUCAUAUUCAAGUCUCUGGAUAUCUUAGUUCCGGAAUUCAAUGUUGCCAGAGGUAUGACAAAAAUGAGAAGAAAUCUAAAUGGACCAAACCACCAGUUGUUCCUCUUUGUGCUUUCUCAUUGCAGAAACCUACCUUAGCGCCCAUUCGGGUUUUCACCAAGGUUGCCCCCACCCUUUUUGUUGGUUUUUUCUUUCUUUUUCUUUUUUUCUCUUUUCCUUCUUUCUUUUUUCCUUUCCCUUGAGGUGCCCUUGUGGGUUUUCACCUAAGGAAACAAUGGAAGAGCUCAACCAUAGUCGACUCAGGAAUGUAAGUUGAAGAUUGCUGGCAUCAGUAAAAUGCGCUUCCCUUAUAAACUUAAACGAAGGCAUUAUGGACAUCACCUGCCAGUUGAUUAGCAAAAUCCCUAAUAGAAAUGCAGCAAGUGACGAAAGCCUGGACUUUGGGCUUUUGUAAUGAGGUCAGGUGGGGUGUUUUUCAAGAAAAGUUGAGGCUUGAAAGCAGGUUUGAUGAAAGGUGUGAAAUAACCUGAGAUUGCAUCAUUUUGAAAUUAUCUCUAAUUUUGAACAAAACCGAGGAAAUUUGCCCCAGUUUGAUUGGAUUUUCUCUUUCUUUGCAUUUUCUUCAUUGCAUUUUUCUCACUUUUUGCAUUUUCCUUCAAAACUAAAUUUGCCCCAGUGUAGGGUUCUUUCUUUUCCCAUAUCUCUUUCAAAGAUAAAUUUGCCCCAGUGUGGGGUUUUCUUUUCUUUCUGAUCAUUUUUCAAAAUGAAUUUGCCCCAGUGUGGGGUUUGCAAUUCUCAGGAGUUGCGAAACGAAAAUUAUUGUUCUGAUAGUUCAAAGGGGAUGACUAGGGAUGAAAUGUUUUGAUUGGAAAGGAAAAUGGCCUGACUUUUGCCUCGCCCUUUGCAUGAUUUCCUAAAAGAAACUUUGCAUAAUCAAAUAAAGAACAUCUUACACAUGUCCGAGUUGAUAGGUUGAGAGAAUGUCUGUCCUUCCAUCUCUCCUUUGAACACCCAAUAAGCUUUGCCGAUUUGAAGCAAAUUUGCCUUCGACUUCGUCUUUCAUCGCUUUAGCACUUUGUUUCCUUCUUCAGAAGAUCGGUGGCGGAUCCUUUUGUUAUGAACAUAGGCCAUGCGUUUUGACAACAUUGGUCAUGGCACAUAGCAUUAUCAAUCAGAAUCAAUCGUUAAUGAUACUGCUUUGACCAAUCAACUUUUAACCUGGCUGGAAAGGAAGGAAUUUUCUCAAAUGAAGGAAUUUCCAAAUGAAAGGAUUUUUCAAUGAAGGCUUUUUCAAAGAAGGGAUCUCUUAAUGAAGGCCUUUUCAAAGCAGGGAUUUCUCCAUGAAGGGUUUUCUCAAUGAAGGCUUUCUCAAAGAAGGGUUUUUUCAAUGUAUAGUCUCAAAGAAAGGAUUUCUCAAUGAAGGGAUUUUUCAAUGAAGGCUUCAUCGGAUUCCAGAACAGUGAUAUUCAAAGGGUCAAAUAAUUUUAUUUUGGCCAUCGAAAGAAUUUAGAAUGAAAUUGAACCAAUAAACAAUCAAUAUAAACAAAAUGGUGUUAACAAAAUAAUGAAAAGAUGUGACUAUGCAUGCUAUCGAAAGAAAACAACAUGGGAGCUUGAUAAUGCAAAAAAUGCUUUAGUCAAAACUUAAUUUAACAUGAUAAAACUAUUUACUCAAAAGCAAACGGUGACGAGUUUCAUGAAGUUUAACAAAUAACAAUCCCUGGAUUCAUCCCAAAUUCCCUUUGCGAGAGAAGAUACUUGGCAAUCCAAUUGUGCAAGGUUUCUUCAAGAUUUUCAAAUGUCUUCAUUGGAAGUGGAUGCCUCAAAGGUGUCCUUGUGUUCAGGAAAAGGAUUUGUAUUUAUGCUCGGUCCUUGUCCACCUUUCUUUUUUAGCACUAUUUCACCUGCCUCGAUCAUGUCUUGGACUCUAUGCUUAAGUGCUCUACAGUCAAUAGUUGGGUGGCCGGGUGCUCCCGAAUGAUAGGCACAAGUGUACUGCGAAUCGUAGUUGGCAGGGACGCCAUGAGGGUGAGAUGGAGGGGGAAUUACGCUGAUUUUACCGGCAGCUUUUAAUUGUUCGUACAAUUGGUCCAAGGGCCUGCCAAGAUUGGUAAAGGUACGAUAAUGGUUUUGUUUUUGGGGUUCAAUGGGUCGGGGGUAAUUAUAGGUGGGCCUACUUGGUGGAGGGAAUUGUUGAUUAUAGGGAGGUCGGGGUCGAACUUGUUGGAAGUUAGGUUGAGAUAUUUGAAAAGGGGCCAUAGGAGAGUUGUUGUAGUUAGGCCGAGGUCGAGGAUGAAUGGUAUUGGUGUGAUAAACAGGAUGAGGGCUUGAAUAGUAAGGGUUUGAGUAGGUAGGGUAUUGUCGAGAUCUGGGUCUUGGAAUAGGGCUUCGAUUCCAGACAAAAACAGUUUCCCCCUCUUGCCUUUUGGACUGUUGCUUCUUCCCAUUACUACCUUGGCUUUGCAGAGCAUCCAACUGCGAUUUGAGGGCAGACACAUUAACAAUCUUUCCAGCUUUCACGAAAUCAUCAAAUUCUUCAAGUUUAUUAACAAUUGCGGCAAAUGAGCAUCCAGUCAUGCGGAAAAUUUCUUCAAAGUACGGCGGAUCAUGUGCCUUAAUGAAAGUUCGUAUGAUUUCGUCCUCCGUCAUUGGUGGCUCGACUUUUGCAGCUACUUUCCUCCACCUCUUAGCAUAAGUCUUGUGAUCCUCGGAGGGUUUCCUCUUUGUCCCUUCCAACGUGGUUCGUGUUGGAGCCAACUCGCAAUUAUACUCAUAUUGCCUUACGAAAGCCUUGGACAAGUCAAUCCAGGUUCUUACGUCUUCAGGUUUCAGAUUUGAAUACCAGUCAAGUGCGUCCCCUUCCAGACUUUCAGGGAACAACCUUAGAGGCAAGUUUUCAUCGUCCACAGGCUUUCCCAAUUUGUUUGCAAAUAGUCGGAGGUGCGUCUUGGGAUUACCCGUCCCAUCGUAUUUGUUAAACUUAGGAGUUUUGAACCCCUCAGGCAGUUGCACAUUCGGAAAGAGACACAGCUCAUCGUAAUCCAAAAUUCCUUGCUUGUUCAGCACCUGACUUUUCCUCAUGAAUUCAUCGAAACGGUCCAGGCGCUUUAAUAACUUCACAUCAAUGGGAGCAGAGGAUCCUCCCACCUCUGGUUUGGUUUGAAUAAAAUGGUCCGGCAGAUAAGGCUCAGUGGUGGGGUAAUAAAAAGCUUGUGUCUCAGGUGGUAUAUUUGCAGUGACUUGAGGUUGUGGGCCUUGCAUAUGAGUAGGGAAAAAUGAAGGAUUAGAAGGGUAAGUGUAUGGCAGAUGAACGGUGGGGUAGGUGAAAGUCCCUUCGGGUGGACCUUGCAUGGGAACAGUAGUUUGAACUGUAGGAAUAACAAAGGGUUCAGAUUGCAAUUGUAUUACGUGGGGAAGCUCCGGCUGUACCCCGCUACUGACAAGCUCAUCUAUUAAUUUCUUUUGGGCGGCCAUUUCAGAGGCCAUUUCCCCAAACUUAGCAAGUAACUCGGCCAACUGGACUCCAGGACUCGUGACUUCCGGCUGUGUAGUCGCUGUAGUCUUGUCGGAUGAUUCUGGUUGAAUAUUCAUGUUUACACGAUUCCUUUGAGCUUUACUUCGGGAUCGCGUAAUAAUGGGGCUUUUCCGGAAAGUUAUUUUUGGAAAUUUUACCUGAGAAUGCAAAAGACUGCUUUAAAUAAACCAAUCGUUAUUGAAUUUCUGCAAUUUAUUCAAAAAAGAAAAAGAAAAAGACAUGAGUUAGUAACUAUUCGAACAAUUCGGAUGCAUGUCCUAUGGGGGGACCCUUUUUGUGCCAAGGGUAGGCCUAGCAUGAAAAUGCAAUCCUCUGAGGUAGGCACUAUACCAUACCUGAUGGAUCUGAUCAACUCAUUGAGUGAAAAUAAUUUUUUGAAAAAUUUGGUCAAUUGGAGUGAGAAGAGACGAUGGUCAAAAUGAGGACCUCGUCCGAAGGGAUUGAUCACUUUUGAUCGAUACAAGAAUUGGCAAAAACGCGCAGGUUUGACCUUGACGAACUUCCUAUCGAAGAGAUUGGAAUUCCUUGAUAAAAUUUUCUCAGUGAAACGCGGGUCAAAAUUCCAACUGAUCAAAUGUCUUGAUGCAAUGAAUGGUUUUCUCAAAAAUCGACUAAGUUUUGAAAUUGAAAUUCGUCAUUGAAACCCUACUCGGUCAAUUGGGUUGAACGAAAUUGACAAUUUUAUUUAAAAUCGACCGCAUUACCCUAAAAAGGGAAUCGGGUCAAAUGAAUUGAGUGAAAUUUAAAAACUUACUCAAAAUUGACCGAAUCAUUCUAAAAAAGGGAUUUGGUCAAAUGAAAUCGAGAAUUUAUUCAAAAUUGACCGGAUCGCCCUAAAAGGGUAAACUGGUCAAAUGAAUCGGACGAAAUUAAUGAUUUACUCGAAAUCGAUAAGAUCGCCCUAAGAAUGGAAAAAUUGGUGAUUUAUUCAGAAAAUCGACUAGAUGAAGAUUUAUUCAAAAAUCGACCAAAUGACCCUAAAAAGGGUAAAUUGGUCAAAUGAAUUGACGAUUUAUUCAAAAUCGACCGGAUGACCCUAAAAAGGGUAAAUUGGUCAAAUGACCCUAAAAAGGGUAAAUUGGUCAAAUGGGACCCUAAAAAGGGUAAAUUGGUCAAAUGAAUUGACGAUUUAUUCAAAAUUGACCGGAUGACCCUAAAAAGGGUAAAUUGGUCAAAUGAAUUGACGAUUUAUUCAAAAUUGACCGGAUGACCCUAAAAAGGGUAAAUUGGUCAAAUGAAUGGAUGAUUUUUCAAAAAUUGACCGGAUGACCCUAAAAAGGGUAAAUUGGUCAAAUGACCCUAAAAAGGGUAAAUUGGUCAAAUGAAUUAAUUUAUUCAAAAUUGAUUAGGAAUUGACAAAAUGGAUCGAUUGAAUCGUUCGGCCAUUGGUGGUUUCAAAAAAUUAGUCUAUGAGCCUUCUAAAAUCACGAUUUGGCCUCAGUUUAUUAACUGUCUCAAUGAUAAGGAAUUAUUUGUGAAUUUCUUCAAAUUAAUGUCCUUUACGCAAGGGAUUUUUACCAAUUUUUGAUAAAAUGGCCAAAAAGUGAUUAUUAGAUGCUCAUAUUCCAAAGAUUACUCUAUGAAAAUGAUCGGAUCCUACCUUACCUUGUACACUACCCCUUUGGAUGGUACAAAAUGUAAACGUGCAAGUCUCACUGGAUUAAGUAUCCGAGACACAAAGGUGGCUUAUUCCUAAUGCGGGAUCCCCUAAAUGGCAUUCCCUUUCUAGGUUUUAUGCAUGAUGCCAUUUAUUAAAGCGGUAAAAUGUGCAAUUCGAAAUGAAACGUGACCUAAAAGAACCUUUUAUAUGCCAAGGUGGGCUUAGAAUGCUAUGCAAUUAUUAAUCUAUGAAUGCAAUAUACCAAAAUCUUUAAACGUGCAAUAACCUACCUACGAGGGUAGGUUCCUAAAAAAAAUGUCAUGCCAGACCUCUUAUUUGCUAGGGUUGUGAAUGCAAAAACAAGAAACAAGAAAAGUUAGUUCCACAUUUAAUCACAUAACACGUUGGACAAUUAAAUGAUAAAAAACAGGAAAAGUAAAUAAGGAAAAGGAUGGGAUCCCUCCCCUCGUGAAUGGUGUCCCUAAUAGGGUAAGGCAGACUCUACCCUAGGUGAACUAUAUGGAUGCAUGAGGUUGGGGUUCACUAAUGCAUCUAACUCGAUAAGCUCAGGUCCCCAAGCCUUCAGACUUAGGGCCAAGGGUCAUCAAUUCCAUGGCCCUUUGUCGGUGGCUCGAGCGAUUCCCCAAACACCGCUACGCACACGUCGUGUCACGGCCGCAUGUUUGAGUGAAUCUAUAAAAAACCUCAACUUUCGACUAAAAACUAAGGAUAUUAACCCAAAGUUUAAAGCGGAAGAGUGAGUGACCCAUUGGAUCGUGCUACGCACACGUCGUGUCACGGUCACACGUCCAAGUGGGUCUCCUAAUCCUAAUAGGGUGGAGUGGCGUGACAAGCCACUAAAAAGAAAAAUAAAAGGGGAUGAUAGGGUGGAGUGGCGUGACAAGCCACUAAAAAGAAAAAUAAAGGGGGAUGAAUAGUAAAGCGUAUGCGCGUAUGAUAGUGCACGUUUUGGAGGGGAGGGAUCGAGAACCAAUGCGUGGCUCUAAGGGUGACACACACCCCCCCAAGUGCAAUGACAAGCGCGGAAUCACAUACAAACAUCCAUUCAUCAAAACAAUCAUAGGCGAACGUGUGAGGAAGUGAGUUGAUACGUGAAAUGCAAAAAUCCUAGAAAAGGGAAAAAUGCAACCCUAAACAUCCAAUGUGAUAAAUAAAAAGGUUUAAAAGAAGAAAAAGAUUGAUUAAAUCGAUUGCUCGGACUCUCAAGUCCCCAGUGGAGUCGCCAACUGUCCCGCCCCAUUUUUUUGAUAAAAUAAAUAAAUGGUUUAAAAAAAUGUAUUUUGUGAUUGGAAAAUGAAUCGUGAUUUAAAAGAAAAAUGGGUCUAAAUGGGGGUUUGAAAAUGCGGGCAUUGUCAACUACUUCCAGACCGCGAAGAGUGAUGCCAUUUGGAGGACCGUCCUUCUCUGCUACGUUUGUUGGUGUUGAAUCAAUGAAUAAGGAGCCAUCGCAACCCUGAAAGCCUUAUUAAAUUAGUACUAAUUGCUUGUUUAUGUCAUACACUUCGCAUACUUUUGUGACAAGAUGAAAACCUGAAACAAACUAGUUUCCUUGAAAAAACUUAUCACUUGGGAGGCAUUACCCGAACAAAGCAAUCGUGGAAAUGAGCUCUGACGAGACCAGGAGCAAUUCCUUUAUCUUUGAGAAAGGCUUUGAGGACUUCUUCCCAUAUGAUUGAUUCUGCGCGAGGACAUCUACUGUUGUAGAAUCCCACUACUAGUUGUGCCUUAAUUUGAGAACUCAGGCAUAAAACAGUUGCUAACAGUGCAGCCAGCAGUGCCAUUUUUUGUUCUUGAUAGUGAUAUGGACCUAUGUAACUACAAGAGUUAUAUAUAGAAAUCCAUCUCCAUCACCAGGAAAACUAGCAAUUUCCAAGGCCAUAACGGCUUCAAAACAGAUAGCACUGGAAACAAGAGGAAAUGCCAAAUUUCGAGUUAAGUCCAUUCUUCACUCACGGUUAGCAGGUGUGGCCUAGAUCCCUAUUUCAUGCUUGCUUAGAAAGGAGAUUCAUUUCCCAUGACAAUAAAGAAUGAUUUGCAAAUGAUCUUAAAUGACUCUCAUUUACUAGUUACUGGACUGGCCAAUUCCUUGUUUUAUCACAGACAUGCAGAAAUCCUAGUUGUAUAAGCUCUAACCCCAGUUUUUAAAGCUGCUAUUUCUUUAUUUAAUUUCUUGUUUGCUACUUAGAUGUUUAUCAUUCAACUUUUCUUAGUUUCAACUGAAAUGCAAGAAUUAUGGCAAAGAAUGACUGUCUUCUUUUCUCUUUUUCCCUGCGAGAAAAGAAGGAUUUUAUAGGGUAAUUUAACGUAACAUAUAUAGUGGUUGACUGAAUUUGUUUCUAAAAUGCGUACCUUUUGCCCUACCAGAAAUUUUUUAGGAAUAAUAUGCUUGUCAUGCCAAUAUUUGAUCUUUUCUUUAUAAAUUUUGGCAUUUUCAUAUGCAUGUAGUCGGUGUUCCUCCAAUUCACUUAGCUCAAGUAAUCGUUUUUCUCCUGCAAAAUUACAAUCCAUGUUAAUAGAUUUAAUUGCCCAAUAAGCUUUGUGCUCAAUCUCCACAGGUAGGUGACAAGCUUUCCCAUAGACUAAACGAUACGGUGACAUCCCUAGGGGUGUCUUAAAUGCCGUUCGGUAAGCCCAUAGUGUAUCAUCUAGCUUUGUAGCCCAAUUCUUGCGUGAUUUAUUCACAGUUUUCUCCAAAAUGAGCUUUAUCUCUCUAUUAGCUAGCUCUGCUUGUCCAUUGGCUUGAGAAUGAUAUGGAAGUGAUGUCUUGUGCCUACAACCAUAUUUAAACAAUAAGGAAUCCAAUUGUCUGUUACAAAAAUGUUUCCCUUCAUCACUUACUAUGGCCUUGGGUAUACCAAAUCUACUGAAAAUAUUCUUUUUAAGGAAUCUAAGUACAAUUUUAGAGUCAUUAGUAGGUGAAGCGAUUGCUUCAACCCAUUUAGAAACAUAAUCCACUGCUACUAAGAUGUACUUAUUAUUAAAAGAACUAGGAAAUGGUCCCAUAAAAUCAAUAUCCCAUACAUCAAAUAACUCAACUUCCAAGAACGUAGUCAGGGGCAUUUCAUUCUUUCGAGAUAUAUUUCCAGUUCUUUGGCAUGCAUCACAAUUUUUAACAUAUUCCCUAGCAUCUUGGUACAUAGUUGGCCAAUAAAAUCCUGAUUGCCAUACCUUUGCCACAGUCUUUGAAGUACUGAAAUGACCACCUGUUUCAAGGUUAUGACAAUGAUAUAAAACAUUAUGUACCUCAUCUUCAGGAAUACAUCUACGUAUCAUACCAUCGGCACAAUGUCUGUAUAGCAAUGGUUCCUCCCAAAAGUAACUUUUUACGUCAUGUAAGAAUUUCUUCUUUUGAUGAUAAUUAAAUCCCUUUUGAAUCUCUCCACUGACCAAGUAGUUAGCAAAAUCUGCAUACCAUGGAGAAUUUCUAAGUGCUAGGACAAACUCAUCCGGAAAAUUCUCUUGAAUUGGAACCUGAUCUUUGAUUGGGAUAUAUUCCAAACGUGAUAAAUGAUCUGCAACUAGAUUCUCCGAUCCCUUUUUGUCUUUUAUCUCCACAUCAAAUUCCUGCAAUAAAAGAAUCCACCGAAUUAGUCUAGGUUUUGCAUCAUUCUUAUGCAGCAAAUAUUUAAGAGCUGAAUGGUCCGUAUAUAUAAUGACUUUAGAUCCUACUAAAUAGGAUCUAAAUUUGUCCAAAGCAAAUAUCACUGCCAAUAGCUCUUUUUCUGUCGUUGCAUAAUUGAGUUGAGCCUCAUUUAGCAACUUGCUAGCAUAGUAAAUGACGUGCAAUCGUCCUUCUUUCUUUUGUCCCAAAACUGCUCCAACUGCAUAAUCACUUGCAUCACACAUCAAUUCAAAUGGUAUUGACCAAUCUGGUGAAGUUAUAAUUGGGGCAGAAAUCAAUUCCUUCUUCAACCUUUCAAAUGCAACCAAACAAUUGUCAUCAAAUUGAAAAGGAGAAUCUUUACAUAAUAAAUCACAUAAUGGCUUUACUAUUUUAGAAAAAUCUUUAAUAAAACGUCUAUAAAAGCCAGCAUGUCCUAAAAAACUCCUUAUCCCCUUGACAUUGCUUGGGGGUGGCAAUUUUUCGAUGACUUCUAUUUUGGCUUGAUCCACCUCAAUUCCCUUGGAGGAAAUCUUGUGUCCUAAGACAAUUCCUUCUUUUACCAUAAAAUGACAUUUCUCCCAAUUCAGUACAAGAUUUGUUUCCUCGCAUCUCUGCAAAAUUAAUUCCAAAUUAUGAAGACACUGAUCAAAAGAUGAACCAUACACAGAAAAAUCAUCCAUAAAUAUCUCCAUAAUUUUCUCAAUAUAAUCAGAAAAAAUAGCCAUCAUGCAUCGUUGAAAAGUUGCAGGAGCAUUGCAUAAACCAAAUGGCAUUCUUCUAAAGGCAAAAGUGCCAUAAGGACAUGUAAAUGUGGUCUUUUCUUGAUCCUCUGGAGCUAUAGCUAUUUGAUUAUAUCCUGAAAAACCAUCAAGAAAACAGUAAAAUUCAUAUCCAGCUAUUCGCUCCAAUAAUUGAUCAAGAAAUGGUAGGGGAAAAUGAUCUUUUCUUGUUACCGUAUUUAACUUACGAUAAUCAAUACACACUCUCCACCCUACCACAAGUCUAGAUAGAAUUAAUUCAUCAUUUUUACCCACGAUUGUAGUCAUUCCACCCUUCUUUGGUACCACAUGAAUUGGACUAAUCCAAACACUAUCGGAGAUAGGAAAAAUUAUACCUGCGUCAAGCCAUUUAAGAAUUUCAUUUCUUACCACCUCUUUCAUGUUUGGAUUGAGUCUUCUUUGUGUUUCCACCACUGGUUUGCAAUUGUCCUCCAAUAAAAUUCGAUGCAUGCAUAUAGAAGGACUUAUACCUUUAAUGUCUGAAAUUGUCCAUCCAAUUGCCUUCUUACACCUUCUUAGAACUCUUAGCAACUUUGCACACUGUUCAUCAUCAAGGUCAGCACUAACAAUUACAGGUAAAGUUUUAUUUUCUCCAAGAAAUUCAUACCUUAGAUGAGUCGGAAGUGGCUUGAGCUCUAACCUUGGAGGUUCAAUUUCUGAAGGUUGUGAAAACCCUUUUCCUUGGCCAAGACUUUCAUACAAAUUACCCCUUUUAUAAGGUGCUUGAAAAUCCAAGUACUUGGCCAAUUCUUCAAUUUCUUCACAAACAUCUUCUUGCUUACCUAAACUCAUUAAACAAUGCUCAAGAGGAUCUAAGUCAAGGUUGACUUGACUCAUCUCUUGGGUUAGUUUAUCAAUUGUGCCAAUAGAAUAAGCAUGAUCGGUAAAAGAAGGGUAUUUUUCCAUUUCAUUCAAAUUAAAUUCUACUUCUUCUUCACCUACUUGAAACUUAAGCUUGCCAUUUUUUACAUCAAUAAUAGUACCUGCAGUAGCUAGAAAUGGUCUACCUAGAAUAAUUGGCAUAGAUAUAUCUUCUUCCGUAUCUAAUACCACAAAAUCCACUGGAAUGAUAAAUUUUUGAACUUUUAUCAAUACAUUCUCCAACACUCCCACUGGAUAUCUAAUAGACCGAUCCGCUAGUUGCAAAGUAAUAUUUGUGCGUUUAAGCUCAUGCAAACCCAAUUGUCUAGCCACCGUUAAAGGUAUUAAUGAUACACUAGCACCAAGAUCACACAAUGCUUUAGAAAAAUCAACGUUACCUAUGGUGCAAGGUAUAGAAAAACUCCCUGGAUCCUUCAACUUCGGUGGUAGCUUAUUUUGAAUAAUUGCACUACAUUCCUCCGUUAAUGCUAUUGUUUCGCAGUCUUCCAACUUUCUUUUUCUAGUCAUGAUUUCCUUGAGAAAUUUCGCAUAAGACGGAAUCUGCAAAAUAGCAUCGGCAAAAGGAAUGUUAAUGUGCAAUUGUUUGAAAAGUUUAACAAAUUUUUCAAAAUCUUUAUCAAACUUAUUUUGCUUUAAUCUUUGUGGGAAUGGAACCGCAGGGGGUAUUGGAAUGGUAGUGGAAGAUGAUGGUUGCUUUUCUCUUGGAUUCUCCCGACUAUUUUCCUCCACAAUCGCCUCUUGGUUCCACUGCUUUUCUUCUUGUUUUUCAUUCUCAUCCUUCUCAACUUCCUUCACUGGAGGAUCUUCUAAUUGUCUACCACUACGAAGAGUAAUGGCUUUCACAUGCUCCUUAGGAUUGACCUCUGUUUUGCUAGGUAAUUCUCCUUGAUUUCGAUUAUUCAAAGAACUAGCAAUUUGACCAAUUUGGACCUCUACAUUCCUGUACAUUGUAGUGAGUUGGUCCAUCCUUCCUUCUACUCGCUCAAAUCUGUCCGAGGUAACUUUUGCAAGCUUUUCCACUGCCAUCUCCCAACCAGAUUUAGUUUCAGCUUGUUGUUGCCUUGAUUGAAAUCCCGGUGGAUUGGUUGGCCUUGGUUGAUUUCCUUGAUCCUUCCAUCCAAAGUUUGGAUGAUUUCUCCACCCCGGAUUGUAAGUAUUCGAGUAGGGGUUAUUUUGAGCAUUACGAUUGUAAUUAUUGACGAAUUGUACCUGUUCAGAAUCAACACACUCAUUAGUAUCAUGUUCACCUCCACAUACAGAACAGCAUGCUACAUGUGCAUUAGAUGAGCUUGGACCUUGUCUACUUAGCAAUUUCAUCACAUUAUUCAUUUGAGCACUCAGCAUAUUAAGAGUGUCCAUUUCUAUCAUACCUGCGUGACGUCUUGCAUUACCUCUCUCAUUGGCCCAUUGGUAGUUAUUUGCUGCCAUUUCUUCUAUCAAAUUAUGAGCUUCUUGGGGUGUUUUACCCAUUAAAGCUCCACCUGCAGCUGCAUCGAUCAUAGUUUUAGUAGAAAAAAUUAAACCAUUAUAGAAGGUUUGUAUGAUUAACCACUCCGGCAGUCCAUGAUGUGGACAUUUCCGAAGCAGAUCUCUAAACCUUUCCCAUGCCUCAUAUAAUGAUUCACCUUCUAAUUGGCUAAAACUAGUGAUAUCCAUUCUAAGCUUAGCAGUCUUACCUGGUGGAAAGUACUUAUUUAAGAAUGUUCUUGAUAAUUCAUCCCAUCCAGUGAAAGUAUUGGGAGCAUGAGAGUGUAGCCAAAGUUUGGCCUUAUCUCUCAAUGAAAAUGGGAACAAUCUUAGCCUUAUAGCAUCAUCACUAACUCCAUUCAUUUUAAUUGUAUCACAAAUUUCCAAGAAUGUAGCUAAGUGUGUAUUAGGAUCUUCUACUGCAUUACCUCCAAAUUGAGAUUGUUGAACCAUUUGGAUAAGUGAAGGUUUAAUCUCAAAGUUGUUAGCAUUUACCGCAGGCCUUGCUAUGCUCGUUUGUGAACCUUGUGUUCCCGGUAUAGUAAAAUCUCGCAGAACUCGCCUAUUUAGGUCAUUUUCCGCCAUUUCUUCUUCAAAUGGUAAUUCUAUCAAGAUAUCUUCUAUUGGCUGCCAAACCUCUUGUUCCUCUUGAUGCAGUGUAUUCCUCCUUUGUCUCCGCAAUGUUCUUUCAAUUUCAGGAUCAAAAUGUGCAACUUCUCUAUUUGAUCGGUGCAUGCACUACAAAUAAAAAUAAGAGAAAUUUUUGUAGUUUUAAUUCAACAACUUGGAUAAAAACAAAUGAAAAUGUCUAAAUUAAUAGAGAUGACUAGGCCCUAAUAUUGCCGCUCCCCGGCAACGGCGCCAAAAACUUGACGGGUUCUUAUUGUAUCAAUGCAAGUUUAAUUCCGAUUUUACACCCGUUGGACUGCAAGUAUACAGGUCGAAAUUUUAGUACAAGAUGUGUAUCGGGUCGAUCCCACGAGGAGCAAUUUAAACAAUUACUAAGCCCCUGUUCUCUCUAUUAUUUAGACUUACCAUUAAUUUUGAGCAGAGAAAAUCUAAUGCUGUAAUCUACAAAUCUGAUGUACAAAUCUAGUUUAACAAAUGCUGAAUGCAAAUAGAGAAAUUUCACUUAAUGAAGAUUCUAGGGAUGUAGAUUCCACUUAUGGCAUAAACUACACAAAUAAAUGGAUUUACUUAUUGCUAUUAUUCUUGCUUAACCAGAGAUUUAUUUCCAAGAUUACCAAGUCUCAUUUCCAUGAUGAAAUGGCUUAGAGCAACAUAGAUUUCCCUAUUUCCAUGGUGAAAUACUACUACAACUCUGUUUUAGUUCAUGAAAUACUAAGUAAUCCACUUAAGUGUAUUUCUAUUUUCAUGAACAUACAACUCAAGCUCUACUCAUGUGUUUCCAUUGUUAUUACCAAUUCUCAUUGAACAAUAACAACUGUAAACAAGUUAUUGGUGAUCAAACAAUAACAAGAAAUCACAGCUACACAAGUAGACAAGUUAACUCAAGAUAUAACAAGUGUAAAUCACAUUCAAUUAGUAUUAUUUAGCCAUAAGUUUCAUCUACUCCCUAGAUGAAGGAGUUUAGCUACUCAUGAAUGAUUUAACAAUCAAAUUCACAAGUUUAUUAAUACAAAACAUCAUAAAGUACAAGUAUAAGAAAGAUAAAAGAAAGCUUAGCCAAUUGAAGGUGAAGCUCUCCAAUUCCUGCUAUGUUCUUGCACAAUAUGAUUACAAGUGAAAACUCUCCAAAAAAUGCUUCUCCAAGUACUCCUAACUAGAGAGAAAACUUGUUGCAAGAAGGAAAACUAGCUACGUAUGGUUAUCCUUGCUUCUCCCUUGUGUUUCUGCAUAAAAGGUGGUAGAAAUUCCAUUCCUCUCACUUCAUAAUUUCCUCCACUUAGAUUUUGUAAAAAGAAGUCAAAGAUAUGAUGUUCCUUUUGUCCACACUCAUUUGGUCUUCUCUUUAUUGCAGAAGCAUGUGCCACCGAUUUCUGUCCCUCAAAAUAGCUGUAAAAGUUGUGAGAAAGGUAAAGAAAAACGGCUGUGCCACUUGCUGAGGAGAGAGACAGAUCCGAGCCUCGGAUCCGAGGAGUGAUAAUGGAUCCGAGCUCGGAUUACAGGAUCCGAGGCCUUCCCAUGAUGGAUCCGAGGUCGGAUCGUCCUGACCUCGGAUAUACUCCGCCAGAAGUACAGACGAGGGGUCGGAUCCCUCUUGUACACACGGAUCCGAGCUCGGAUCCGUGUUGAACAUUUUUCCAGUUUUUCACUUCUUCCCUUUUUCUACAUUUUUGCUCCCACUUUCUUGUGUACUUUGUCCUCUGGAUGACCCUGACAUUUCUUUCAACUUGUGCAUGAAUUUCAUACAUCAAUUACCUUCACAAUUUCACAAAAUUACGCAUUAAUCACUCAUUUAUCAAUUUCUUAACUCUUAAACAAUAUUUAAGCAAUUAUCACCAAAAGAAUUUAAAUAUGGCUUUAAUCUUCUCAAAACAUACCAAAAAUUCAUGCCAAAUUCAUACAAAAUGUACGUUAAAUAUUCACUUAUCAACAACCCUACUUCUAACUGGAGAAAUCGAGUACAGGUCCGAAAAUGAUUUUAGUCCAAUCUAUAUAUAGCUUGUUGAGGCUUUACAUUGUUAUCCAAUAUGAUUUUAGUCCUUGUGGGUUAGAGGUGGCAAUAUAGAUAAAUGGUUUAUAAUUGGUUUUGACUUAAUGGAUUAAAUAAAAACCAAUUAUCCAUUUAUAAUCCAUUUAAAUAUUUUGAUUACUUUUUUUUUUUUGUAUUACCAUUUCUUGUAAUAUGAAGAUACUUUUUUAUGUACUUGUAAAUUUUAGUUGUUGAAAAUGACAAAAAUCAAUAAAUGACAAAAAUAAUUGGAACUAACCAUGAAGAUUGUUGUACAAAUAGCCAUAUGGUAAUUAAUGGGGGAUUAAUGGGGAUUGAAUCAUAUCAUAAUCUAAGGAGGGAGGUCAACCCGACACAGUUUGUUACUUUUUUGCGCACUUAUCAAGCCUAAAUCCUUAAGUUGGGUUAAAACCAGAAUGGAACACAAGCAUUUAGUCAUACUGGAAAGGUAAAGGCUGCCUUUCUUUAUUUGUCACUUCUGAGCAAGACUUAAGCAGGCUGUCUUUUUUGUACACAUAUGGUGGCGAUGUGUGUUGCUAGUUGCCAUCAUCAUCAGCAUGUUCAUAAGGCCGGUGGAAUAAAUGCGGAGGAGGCCAACACUAAGGAACAGAGGAAUGAGAUAGAGUUGAAAAACAUGUAACAAGAAAUCCUUUCCUUUUCUUUUAUUUGGUUUUUAAGUAAAUGGAUAUAUAUGGCUUUUGUGGAUAAUCCAUAUAAAUCCAUUUAAUUUAAUGAUUUUAUUUUGGUCAACCAUUUAAAACCAACACUAUAAAUGGAUAAUCCAAAUCCAUUUAAUUAUGGAUUAUAUGGAUGGAUAAAUGGAUCUCAAUCCAAAUUGUCGUCUCUAUUGUGGGUUUGAGUUAAGGCGUGGUUUAUGUAUACACAUUCAAAAAUAACAAAACAGGAUGGUAAGAUUAUGUCCAAGGUUAGUCAUCAAGUCAGCAAUCGUUGAAAACAAUUUGUAGACGCAAUAUAUGUACUAACACAAUAGAUAUAGAUAUUUAAAUAUCAAUUAUGGACACUAAAAAAAAUAAAAACACAGUUUCUAAUGCAAACACUAUAUUAAUAUUUGCACGUCGUUGUCUAAGUGUCUACAUUUGAUAAUUUGAUAUGUACAUUACGAUCGUUCUUGUAAUUUUUUUUUCUUGUAGUCGAGAACAGAACUGAAAGCUAUAUUACGUUGUAGACAAAUAAAAUUUAUUUAGUCAAGAUUAAAUGAAUUGAAUUGAUCUUGAUUAAAUUAAAUUAAAUUGUAUAAGUCCAUUAUGUUUUGGACUGUCAAAUUGGGCCAAUAUUAUAUGGGCUAUUAAGUCAAAUUAAAUUUGUAAUGUCCAUUUAAAUUGAGUGAAUUAAUUGAUUUAUUCACAAUUGACUAUUUAGAUUGGCCCAUUAUUUAAGCCCAAGUUCAAUGGAUUUCUUGAGGAACAAGUGAUCCAAAAAUGCAGGGGAUUCUGGGGGUUUUCUUGAAGACCUAGCCUACAUAUUUUGGCUAUAAAUAAAGGUCUUGCCUCAAGGCAAAGAUAUAGAAAAAUCCCUAACGUUUGGAGAAACUCUGUCAAAUUCUCUCAAGAGCUUUUCCUUCUAUCCAAGUCCAAAUCAAGUCAAACAAAUCCUCUUGCCAUUGGUGCUGAAGACUUAAGAGUUCCAAGUGUUCAACGUCAUCAUCAAGUCAAUCGUUUUCUACGCCGAAAUUGUAGGAAACACCCUUUCGAUUGGAGAACAAGCCUUUCGGCCCUUCAAUUGAAGCUAUUCGAAGAGAAGAAUCAGGGGAUUAAUUUCUUUGAUUCAAGAAUUUUCAGAGAUUGUAACCCGCUCAUUAUUUGAUUCAAUCAAUUUGAUAUUUGUGCAAGUUUUCUUGUCUUUUAUUUUAGGCAAUAAAAUUUGUGUUUGUAAAGCAAAUGGAUUAACUGCUCUCAAGGGCUUCAAAGUUUCUUUAACCUUAAAAGAACCUGAACAACAAGCAGUCCAGAUGGUUUGGUCUCCAUUUUCAGGAUAUAUAAGGUACAAAUUAAGAGGUUAGCAGUAGCAAGCUGCUGCUUGAGCAUUCUGACCUGAUCAGCUAACAAUUCACAAGCCUCGAGAAGUCAUGGGUUAAAGUUCUUGCAAGAUUUUGUCGUUGAUCAGUUUAGUGAGGUUUGUCUGCCUGAUGUGGAAAACGGAAUCUUGGGUUUGAGACCUAAUUCCAUACCAUCAAUAAAUCUGCCAAGAAACCAUUUAGAAUUCUUAUGUGUUGUUCGUGUAGUUAUGAUUUUAGUAUUUAUAUUCAUUCUUUUAUUUCUUAGUAUCCUUUUGAACAAGGGCUUGGAGCCGCUAGUAGCAAGAUUUUGUUUUUUUUUUCUUUCUGACAUUUUCUUACGAAAGUAAGAAUUUUUGGCAAAUAAACCUAACAAGAUUUUGUUGAAAUCGUGCUUCUUGCAAGUGUAGAGGAAGCUCAACAGGUGCUGGCUACAGAAGGAUGCCAUGCUGGUCAAUAGUACUGGUUGCCUUUCGCUAGGCUGAAUCCUAAGGGGUCUCAAACCACAUCCCUAUCCUGAUUCACUUUGGACAGCUGCGUGAAAUUUUUAGUAGUUUUGUGUUCUAUUUGUUUGCCUUUUCCUUGCAUAUUUCAACUGGCUUAAAUAGGCCUAAUUAAAGGUUAUUGUAAUUAAUACAUCGUUAUCAAGACUAAUUACCAAUUAUUCUAUUGGUUAAUUAAGCCCUGUUCUCAUGAAUUAAUGCACUCAAAGGUUUUCUUGAACCCUUUUGAAACAUUCUUGAAAGUCAUGAAUCGUGCAUCACUUUGUUUAGGAUUCGAUUCCCUAUCGCUAAUUAUUUAAGUUGAGUUGGUAAUUAGGACAUCUAGUGGUCAAGUUUAAAUACCACAAUCGCCAUUUGUAUUACUAUAUAUUAAGUAAAAUUUAUUAAAUUAUUUAUCAAACUAAAUAUAUAAAAGAAGAAUAUUCACUGAAGUUAUUUAUUCUUCUUGGAUUAAUUAGAAGAGGACUUUAAAAAGUGACCACACGGACAUACCUGACUUUAUAUGCUAAUAAAACUAAAAAAGGCUCCAAAACCCGGUCUUAGUACAACUAGUACAGCUUCAUGCCAGAAUCCUUGACACCCCCAAGGUGGCUUUUAUGCAAGAAAGGGAGAAAAAAACUAAACAAAACCAAAAAAGACAGAGGAAAAGAAAUCUAUAGAUGGUGCCUGAAAUGUAAUCACAUCCAUAUAGCGUUGGCUUCGAUAAGCAGUGGCUUCAACUUGCCCUUAACAUUGAGGCUCAUAACCUCAUUGGAACCACCAACAAAAAUCUUACCUAUGAAAACAGCAGGAACACUAGGAUUACAUCCUAAUGUUAGCAAUGCAUUCUCAACUUCUCUUCCUUUUGGAAGUUGAUCAAGCUCAUAAACCGUAGGGUUCGCGCCAAAGCUGCUUAUCAGAAUCUUGAUAGCAUGGGAAAUGCAGCAGUUGCUCUUGCUGAAGAUCACCACUGGCUUUUCUGACCCCAAUUUCCUCACUGUUUCCAUUCUACUUUCUAUAAAACUUGCUAGUCAAGAAGUUAAAAAGUUCGAACUACUACUUGAGUUGAUAGGAAGUUUAUGACUUGGUUUGAGAAAAAUCCUGAAUUGUACAAAGGUAUAUAUAGAGGGCUAAGGAUGAUGGAUUGUAAUACUUCUGUUCAGAUAGGAAAAGUGGGAAAUGUGUCAGAUUUUGCUUCUAAAGUUGAUGCUUCAGAAAUAUCAGCAGCUAUUCGAAUAGGGUAAAGGUUCAAUCUGUCUUAUGUAACACAUAGAAUCUUAAGUUGCGUUAGCAUGCUGACAACAUAAAAAUUAGAAAAGUAGUAGUGGAUGAUUUCUUCUUUUACUAGAAAGAUUCUAAGGCCUGGAAGGUUUACUAUGGAUCACGAAUUCAGUUAGAUUUGUCAAUAUCAAAGAAAUUCUUACAGCACGUACGAUCCCUUGAAGUUUCCAAAGAAUUUCUUACAUCGCAUCAAUUGACGAUGGAAUGAAUAAUAAGACAGCUUUCUUUUUUUUUUCUUUUUUUCUUUAAAAAGUUAGUGAUUAAUAGUAACUUAUAGUUCAAAAUUAGUAGGUAAAUGCACCCCUUGAUAUGCGCAGCUGUCUAUGGUUUCAGCAAGUUGAAACAGAAAUAUAUAGACUAUUAUACUUGCAUUGUGAGAAUAUUAAUUGCAAAAAGAAAUUUUAUGACAACCCUUGCAUCAUUUUAUGAGACAUUUAUAAGAUAUUGUUAUUUUAUCUUUUGUACUUGUGAGAGUGUGAACAAAGCAAGUUAAUCAAAAUUGGGGAGUUGUUAUAAAUUCCUCUCUCUGCUUUGGUUUGGGAUAAGUUUGUACAGAUGGUAAUUAUAAUUUCAAGUGGAUUAAGCCAUGGAGGUGUUUGAUUGUAUUUUUGAAUCGGAUUCAAAAUUGCAAUAGGAAUCACAAUCAUAAACCCCACUAUUGGUACAGGUUUUCAUCACUUUCUCUUAUAUAUAUAUAAACAAAACCAGACAAAAAAUAAAUUUGCUAUAAAUACCCCUCAAUCCCAACACAAACACACACAAUUUCUUCAAGACUACUUCUCUCUCUAGUUUGAAGAAUUUAUAUAUAUAUAUAUAUAUAUAUAUAUAUAUAUAUAUAUAUAUAUAUAUAUAUAUAUAUGAACCGAAAUGGGGUUCAUUCUAUUAAUGAGUUGAUUACUUUGAAAUCUAAUUGGUAAUCAGUGAGGAAUGAUUGGGGCCAAUAUAUAACAUUCGUAUUUUCAAUGAAUGAUUUUUAUUGUGGUCUAUCAAACAAUAGAUAUAAUUGAACAAAACAAAACGUUGGACUUCCCCAAGUGAACAGAAUAUAAUUCCUUAGACUCAGUGCACAUGUUGAAAGAAAGGAUAUUUCUCAUGACCGACCCCGACUCAGGGUCGAUGUCAGAUGCAUCCCAGUGAAAGCAUCCAUUGACUGUGGCAGGGAAACAUGGGGGAUAAAUGUUCACUACUUGUGGAAGGAUAAGAUCAACCUUUCUCCAAGAAUUUGUACAGAGCUUGUAUAUUUGAACUCCCAUCACCAUCCCCAAAUAAGAAUAAUUACUUCUUGAUUUUGGAUAAAGUUUAUAUAGCUUGACUACCUUGUAAUCUUGGGUGGAUGGAUCAAAGCCAAACCCUAAAGCAUGUGGACUGACCGAUUUGAACCCUUUUGGUGGAUCAAAGCGGAGGCUUGGAGGAAGUGUCAGGAAUUGGCGUGUUGCAGGAUUACACAGAUGAAUUUCGGAGAGAUCCGAGAAGCAAACGAUGCCAUUGCACGCUCCAUAUAUGUCGAAUGAGUAACGAUUCCACGAAGGUAGCUCUAUAUUAGGGGCAACACUGGGGAGAGAUUCAUCUUCAUCGUGAGAAUGGAAUGAUAACAGGGUUUUGAAUUCGUUCUUGAUGAACCGCUUGACGAGGACGACUUUGCGAUUCUUGCUGUGUAAGUAUUUCAGAUGCUUGUCUUCAAAAUAAGGGCUGUUGAUCAAAGCGAACCAUGUUUUAGAGACGCAGCAGAAUCUCAACAAUGUCUUGACGGGCAGUUUCACGAGGAUUUCUGCCAGGGCAUCCUCCGGCAACGAAUUCACCAUAGUAGAAUAAAAUUCAGGAGUGGAAUCGAUGAAUGGAUUUUGGGAUUUUGUAGAGAAUCCACUAAUUAAUAUGAUGGUCCUUGUCCAAGUUCAUGGGCGAUUUCAAGCGUCCAAAACAGAGAGAGAGAGAGAGAGAGAAGGGUUUCAAAGCCGAUGAGUUGGGCUUUAGGGUUUAGCUCCGAUUAUUGCUUAAGAGGGAAAAAAUUUUUGGGUUCUCAGAUGAAAUAUGACACGUACGACGACGUUUCUAGCUCCAAAUCCAUGUUGAUGAGGAUUAAACGGAAAUUGAUGAGAAGAGAAUGAUUCAACUCCGCAAUUAAACCUAAUUUUCUCAAGUAUGAGUUGUCAACUCAUUACUUCGCCAGCAGAUAUCAUACGGAACAUUACACGUAAUUUUUUCUUUUAAAGAUGGUACAAGUUCAUCAUAUAAAUACUAGUCAGUCAAAAUUACGCAUAAGAAUUUAGUGAAAUUAAUCAUAUAAAUUUAUGCGUAAAUGAUACAAUUAUAUAUAUAUAGUAAAUCUUUCCUACAUUGACGGUGGAUACACUAUCAUCGUUGAAUUCAUGACAUUUAUGCAAAAGUUAAAUUUCAACUUUAAAUUUUACAUAGUUGUCAUUCAUCCAACGCUGAUAAUGUAUACACUGUCACUAUAGAAAAGAUUAAUCCAUAUAUAUAUAUAUAUAUGAUGAAACUAAAAGUAUGGAAAAGAUUAUUACAAUUCUCGGAGACUAUGCUGUAUUAGUACCAAUACGAGCUCGUAUCCUUCAUUAUGAGAUAUUAAAAUUAUUAUUAUUUCAUCACCUUAUUAUUUUUAUACCUAUAAAAUUUAUGAUUUAAGAAGUUGCUAGAUUGUAUAUAACUCGGAAGGUAUGCUAUUAUCUUUGUACAAAUUUUAAAACUUUUUAAAAAUUGAAGUAUAAUUUGUGAAAUAUAAUAUACCAAAAGUUUAUUACAUGUUUUAUAUAGAUUAGUUGAAAAGUAUGAGUAUUAUUCAGAAUAACUUUUAAAUGAAAUUUUUUUUUUUAUUAUACAGAUUAACAGGUAUAAUACGAGUUCUUAAUAACUAGGUUUUCAAAUUACUACAACCAAUCUAGCCAGACUAUUCACAGCUAUCCAGCAAAUCAAAAGUCCUGAGAGAACAAAAUUAACUAUUAACUCAUUUCAUUUCCAAUUGAUCAGUUAAAAUUAAAAAGCUUAAAUCACAUCCUUCAAAGCAAAACUACCAGGGAAGAUAAUUAAUUAAGUAAGCUUAUCUCUUAUCCCUUCCCACUUAAAAUAAAAACCUCAAACAAACAAGAUGUUAAUAGGACAAUUGGGCAUUAAAUACCAUCAUUGACUAUAACCUUAUUAGUGCAUCAAAAUCAGAACGGUACAUGGAAUAUCUGACUUGCAUUUCAUAUUACAAUGACUAAAAGUCACUCAAAACUCAAUAAAACUUAGACUUAAUAAAAAUGGUAGGAGUCCAUGCUCAAGCCCUACCUGAAUUUGGGUUGCUUUGCUCAAAAGGAAAAGACAACAAUUUAAAUAGCAAAACCAAAUCCUUUGGGCGCUUAACUAUAUUCUGGUUAUUACAUCCAUAUAGCCUUUGCCUCGAUAAGCAAUGGCUUCAGCUUGCCUUGAAUAUUGAGGCUCAUAACCUCAUUGGAACCACCAACAAAUAGUUUCCCUAUGAAAACAGCAGGAACACUUGGAUGGCAUCCUAAUGCUAGCAAUGCAUUCUCAAUUUCCCUUCCUUUAGGAUGUUGAUCAAGCUCAUAAACAGUAGGGUUCGCGCCAAAGCUGCAUAACAACAUCCUAAUAGCAUGUGAAAUGCAGCAAUUGCUCUUGCUGAAGAUCACCACUGGCUUUUCUGACCCCAAUCUCCUCACUGCUUCCAUCCUACCUUUGACAAAAAAAAAGUCUAGUCAAGAACUUCAGAAUAUGCACUAUUAUUGAGUUGAGAAUUGAGAGGAAGUUUGAGGCUUGGUUUGAACAAAACCUGAAUUGCAUGAGGUAUAUAUAGAGGCCUAGAGCCAUGGAAUUGUACAUAGUUUUAUUCAAGCAGGAAUUCUUAUGAAAGCUGUAAAAAUUUGCUUCCAGAGUUGGUGUUUGGAUUGGAAUCUAUAGUAUAGUACCUUAAUGUGUCUCACACAGAAUAGAAUCUCAAUUAGUUGCAUAAACAUUUUGAGGUUUGCUUCUUAUGACGGAAAGUGAAAGAAUUAAUAGAUGAUAACAGUCUCCUUCCUUUACUAGAAGAUUAUGAUGGCAAAAGGAUACAUGGCUCGUGGAUUCCCUUAGAUUGUCAAAAUCAAAGAAAUUCUUGCUUUGCUGUUAUUUUGUAUAGCGCCACCAAAUUUAGGGCUUCUUUAUUGCAAAAAUUGACUAUGACAAGUGAUCAUAAAGAAAAAUCAAAAUCAGUCAAAACCACUUUCAGGGAGAUUCUAAAUUUCAAUCCUUUUGGUUAUUAAAAAUGUUAAAUUAUGAAUACAAAAGCAAAUGAGAAAAUCAACCAAACAGACUGUCUAAAAUAUCAGAACCUAAAAUCAGUGGAUGAAAUAAUCAAAUGACAACAAAUAUUAGCUUUUUGCACUAAAGGCCUCAGAUCAGCAGGUACAGUCAAAAUAUGGACAAUUAUGCUAUGACUUUGCACGUGUAAUUUGUACAGCAUAGGCAUGCCCUAAAAUGACUUUAAUUCUGAAAUCAAAUUAAUAAGAAACAGCAAAAUAUUACAAAAAUUUGAGUCAUGAAUUCCAAAUAACUGAAAAAGAAGAAUGAACAGAAUCUUCAAGCAAGUGAAGAUAAAUGCACCCAUUUUAAUAAAAAGACAUUGCCUUCUUCUUGACCGCUGGUCAUGAUAUGUACCAAAACUUGCUUCAACUUAGCAUUAAUUAGACUUCUCCAGAUGAACGGAACCAAAUCCUUAGAUUGUGUAGAGAGAAUCCAUGUAAAUCACAUCCUUUUGGGCUUGCUAAGUAUGACUACUUUGCCUUUUAUUUCUUUUAAGCAGAUGAAGUAUACAUUGUAUUGCAUCUAAGACCACUGAUAAAAAUGGGAGAAAUAAAUUGUUCAGCAAAAGUUGAUUCCCUUUGGUUUUUUCUUUUGGAAGAAAGGGAUUCUUGGCCACCCACCCAAUUGACGGUACAGCAUAGCAUCAUAACAUGGACUAAAGCACAAUGGUAUGGUUCAGAAAUCCGUACAAAAGGCAGAAAAAAGUGCCAAGAAGGGGUAGUAAUAGCAGAUUCCCCCCUUGUGAGAGAUAUAUUUCGACUCUAAGCCAAAAGAGAUGCCUUUCUUGAUUUCCUCCCCAUGAUAAAUACAUCAAAUAAUGUGAAUGAUCAAAUCACAUAAACUUGUUCUGUUCUACACCCUUUACGUUUUCAUCCUCGGAACUAUUUUAUUUUAAACACUUCAUACUGAAAAGUUAUCAAAAUGUUCAAAAUUAUCCAAAAUGGUUGUUAAUUUUAUCCAUAAAAGUGAGCAAGAACGUAUAUGCUUUCACUAAAUUUUGUGUGGGUUUCAUGGAUUUUGAUGUCAAAUUUCAGGAUACCGUUCAUAUAGUUUCAUUAUACAUAUUUUGAGAUAAAUAUGAAGCAUUCAAAGAUUGGAAGUGUAAAGUGACACUAAAUGGUUGUCAAAAAUACUGCCAAGAUGUCAGGAAUGAAAAAACGUUUAAGUGUAAAAUGUGCAAUCUUUUAAAACAUAAUAGAUUUAAAAGUGAAAUUCAUUAGUUUCUAUACUUCUAUAUUCACCAACAGGUUGUAGACUAGCCACCCAAGAGAAUAAAAGGUAGUUGCUUGCUCCUACGGGGUAGUCCAGUGGUAAGCGAACUCUUAAGAACUCCUUUGAUUCUAGGUUCGAAUCUUAUCCUGAACUUAAACUCCCGUGACUCGCCCGGGUGUGUUGCGUGAGGCCGUGGCGUACUCCUUCGGUUUGAUGUGUCGGUUCGAAUCCUACGUGGUUCAAGUCGAGGCAUGUUCCGGUUACCAAAAAAAAAAAAAUAGUUGCCUACCUCUUUCCAAACCAAAAAAAAAAAAAAGAAAAAUAUCCCGUUAAGAUAUGAGAGAGAAGUAUUGGGAGACAUAGGGAAUGAAGGCUAGAUACCGCUAUAUCCUCCAAGCUGCUUGUAAAGGUACUAAUUAAUUACUUCUUGAAGAUGAAAAAUCACGUCUUCAGUUAGUCUUUAUUCUUGUAAGCAGCCAUAAAAAUCAAAUCAAAGCCGACCAUAAUGCUAUAAACUUGACCAGUAUGAUGUAUAAUAUUUGCAUAUUAAGCAACUUGUAAAGGUGUUAAUUCAUUAGUUCUCAAAGAUGACAAAUCACGCCUUUAGUCUCUAUUCUUACUAAGCAGCUGUAAAGAUCAAAUUAAACCCGACACAUAAUGCUAUAAAAUUGAACGGUAUGAUGUAUAAUAUUUGCAUGUUUCUCAGUACUACUUAAUAUAUGAUAAAAAUAAAUAUGAAAAAGAAAGUUAUUUAUCUUGAAUAUAGAAUACAAAAAUUUUUGGGAGUCCGACUAACAAGCUUCUAGUAUAUAUCUAACAAUCGACAUUGGAAAAGUUAUUUGAUUUUCAAUUUUUCUUCAGAGUCAAUAUAAGCUCGUUAAUUCCGUGUUCUAAUCGUGCAAUUAACUAAUUACACUCUCUGGACAGGUUUUUAAGGUCUCGAUUUGUUAGUCGACCCAAUUUCCAUGUCGGAUGGAAUUAAGGUAGACAAGGUAUAUUUGUACGUUAAUACUUUAGCGUCCAUGUUAAUAUCUUAGUGUCCACAUUUAGUCUUUUGUGGGUGUAUUUAUUGCAUUACUUCUUAAAGCAUAUGGUCCAAUCUCCACCGGUAAUUUUUUUCCUUUUUUUUUUGGUUGACAAGAGAACCCGUAGCUGCUACUCGAAAGUGCGCACUGGAUAAACUCUUCCCCGUGCAAUAGCCCGCCAUGUGCAUGAGGCCAUAGGCAUUAUAUUUUCACUCAUUUUUCCAAGAGUAGAAUGAGACUGAAUAUUAGAAGAAACUCUACUAAAUUAUUGACUACUCCAUUCUCCAUUGGGGUGAUAGUUCAGUAGUUGAUUGAUGUCUGCUACCGUAGAAGAAGUCCAAAAUCUAACAUUGAAAUGAAAAAAAAUAACCAUCUCAAUCCGAGCUUAUGCCAACAUACUAACUGAGAUACUAAGUUGUAAACAUUAACAUACAGAAACACUUCUGCCUUUUUUUUUCCUGCCAAGUAUUGUCUCACUAUAUAUUGCUUAAAUUACCAAUUCGGUGUAGUUGCCUUCAAUGUACUAAGUCAACAAUAAGUCAAACUAAUCUUGCAACACAAAAAAAUAAAAAAUAAAAAAUAAAAUACAAGCAGAUUAAUUUAGUUUAAUAUCCAAUAUCACUACUUUGCCAUUCCACUUGAAACUAAAGAACCUCGUUGAGUUUACUUUUCUAAUAAAGCAAAAAGUAUGAGAGAAAUAAAGUGCCACCUAUAUAUAGCCCCCCCCCCCCCCCCCCAAAAAAAAAAAAAAGAAAACCCCACAAACAAAAAUUUUGGUUAGAUCACCUUUAGUCACUAAAUUAUUUAAGGAUCUAAUUUUGUGUACUGAAUUUCUUUUCUUCUUCGUUGUCUCAGUUGGAUCUUACAAUAGUCAUUGCACGUAAUUGUUGCCAUUUUUUUGAGAAAAUGCAAUUACGAAACUAUUUCAGAGUUUGAUUUCACCUAUUAAUUAAAUUUGUCUUCUUUUUCUCUCUUAAUUUUUUUUUUUUUGGUGUCCUUAUACACAUAGAAUUCUUAAUAUGUAUUAGGGAUUUCUUGAAAACUGAAGGACAUGCAUGCCCAUGAUAUGAUAGUAUGCAAGGGACAUCAACUCAGUUAACUUAAGAAAUGACCAAGAAAGCAUGUUUAAGAGUUCAAUGAGUAAACUGACCCAAAAAAUAAGUAAAUAAAUAAGAAGGUCUGGAGGAAAAAGCAAACUUUUGACAUUGUUUGGUGACAUAUUUUGACUUCCACUUGAUAAACCAUACAAAAACAAAGAUACUGCAAUACAAAAGUAUCUGGCACCCUUAGUACAUCAAAAUCAAAAGGUAGAGACAUAGAAUAUCUAACUCACAUAUUAUAAUACAAAAAAACACCUGUAGGAGUUUAUACUAUCCAAGAUUCUUAGUGGCUUUCUUUAGAAGGAAAAAAAAAAAAAAAAGAACCGAGGCUAAUUCAUUAGAUGUUUCAGAACAUCUGAUUAAUCUCACAUCCAUAUAGCGUUGGCCUUGAUAAGCAGUGGCUUCAACUUGCCCUGAACAUUGAGGCUCAUAACCUCAUCAGAACCACCAACAAAAAGCUUCCCUAUGAAAACAGCAGGAACACUUGGAUGGCAUCCUAAUGCUAGCAACGCAUUCUCGAUUUCCUUUCCUUUUGGAUGUUGAUCAAGCUCAUAAACCGUAGGAUUCGCCCCGAAGCUGCUUAACAACAUCUUUAUAGCAUGGGAAAUGCAGCAGUUGCUCUUGCUGAAGAUCACCACUGGCUUUUCUGACCCCAAUCUCCUCACUGCUUCCAUCCUAAUAUUGGGAUUGAAAAUUUGCACUAGUAGUAUUUGAUUUGAGGGGAAUUUUAAGGCUUGCUUUGAGGAAAAUAUUGAAGUGCAUGCAGGUAUAUAUAGAAGGUUACCUGAGAAUGAUUGCAGUAAUUUUCUCAAGGAAACACUAAAAGGGUUCUAAGAUCUUGUUACAAAAAUUGAUGCCUGGAGCAUAUCAGCCACUAUACGGAAAAAAUUGACAGGUCCUGAGGCUAUGAAUCCUCUGUUACACACUAAUGUAUAAUACCUAUGUUACACCUAUAAAUCCUCUAUUAUACAUUAAAGUAUAACACCUAUGUUAUAUAUUUUGAAACAUUGAUACGUGUACUUUUCAAGAGUUCAACUUAGCUAGAAACAUAAUGAUAAUAAUUCAAAAGGAACAGACGUCAAUACAUCAAAGGGCAUAAAAUGAAUGUUGCAUACUAUGGUGCACCAGAAAACCCGUUGCCAUCUCACGACUACAUAGAAUCUCAACUUGCUUGAAGAUUCUGAAAUGGAAAGUUAUAGUGGAUGAUAACAGUCUUUUGCCUUUACUGAUUCUGAGUGCGGAAUGGUACACAGCCCAUGGUUUCGAUAGACAAGUCAAAAUCAGAAAAAUAUUGAUUAUUCUUUCUCUAAUCAUGUACUGAAUUUUCCACGAUUGACAGGUUUCAUAAUAUGCCCCCUAACUGUCCAAUUUAACAUGUUUUCACAAUUAUUGUACAAAAUUCUAUGAUCCAAAUUUACAAAAUUAAUCCAAAUCCUAGUUACUAUUUCUAUUCCUUUCAGUAUGAUCGGGCAGUGGCAUAUUUUGGCAAGUCAAUAACGAUUAAGAUUAAUCCAGAUCCUAUGUAGUUCAAAAAAAAAUGAAAUGGUAGUUUUUUUUUUUUUAUCUAAUUCAAUAACGAUGAUAAAAUUCAAUAACGAUCAUAUUGUUUGAUCUAAUUUGCAUACUGAUUGGACUUCUCCAAAUGAACAGAACAUGAUACCUUUUGCCUGUGGGCAUCCAAAUGAAUUUGUUAAUGUUGCUGACAAAUGAUAUAAUUAUUUUCUGUCUUUUAUUUAAAUAGGUUACUUUUACUGAUAUAUCUUGGACCAGUAAUUCCAAAUGAAAAUUGGAUUCAUGUAACAAGAGAAAGAUUUCUCAUUCCGUAGCCGGGAAGAUAUGUAGCUAUUCUACAUCUGAACCAAAUUCUUUAUGAGAAUAUCUUUCUAACUGCUCUAGAACAAUUAGAAGAUUCUGUAGAAGAAAUAUGAGGUUCUGUAAGGGAUACAAAUGGAAGUAAAUUUAUAAAACAUUCCUAGAAAAAAAUCUGCCAAUUAAACUUUACUUCAAACUUAUUAAGUUAUAGAAAUUUGUAAAGAAUAUCAAAACAGUUUUAAGAAAAAAAAAAAAGAGGUUCCGAGAAAGUAAAAAGAAGAUCUUAAUUUAUACAAGUUACUAAUUUUAAAAAAGAAUCAAUUUGAUUGAGCAAAAGAAGUUUCUCGGUUUGGAUUAGUUAUUUUUGGAGUGUUUUUGAAAUAUUUUAUUGUAGUAAUAUAGGUGAAAAACUUUUACUAUAACUAUUUUUGAAAGUAUUUUUGAAAUAUUUUGCUAUAGCAAUAAUUCGAUUUUAUUUGUGUAUUAUUGUAACACUGUAUAUGAAAAUUUUAUUUUUCAAAAAAUGACCAAUACAAACGCAGAGGUUACUUUUUUAUCCAGAUGACUGACCCCUCAAUAAAAAGAGGAGCCUCUCACCCAAAAGAAUUAUAUCAUAAUCUAAACGAGACUUUUGACUAAAUCAAAUAACGGGCAUGUUACAUGGAUCCGUACAAAAGGGAGAAGAAGGAACCAAGAAGUGCUCAAGCAGAUUCUCCAUUUCUGAGCAAAGGCCAAGAGAGAUGCCUUUCUUGAUUUUCUCCACAUGAUAAAUGGACUAAGUAAUGUGGAUGAUUCAAUCAUAUUUAUCCAUCAAAUCUCAUCAAAUAUUCCUUGGAAAAAAGAUGGCAGUUAAUGGCGCUGAGGGUCGGUUUGGUAUCCUCUUUUUGUAAUAAUUUAAUUAAUGGGCUAGUAAUUCUCUUUCUAUAUAGCUUGGAUCAACCUCAAAGAUCGAUAGCUAUAGAUAAAACCAAGUAUGCUUAGCAAAGCUAGUGCCCAUGUUAUGUAGGGAGAGUGUGAAUUGUAGAUCUUUUAUGUCGACUAUUUGGCACAAAAUCCUCAGUGUUCAGUUGCCGCAUCAAGGGCAUAUAUCCUAUGAAAAAAAUGGCAUUAGAAUUGCCAAAAAGCAACAAUUGCGUAGCUCAAUCUUAAACAGCUGUAAAAUGCGCAGACGAUGAAAGCUUUCCAACAUAAAAUUCUGACUACUAGAAGAGAAUCAUAUGUAGCUGCGUACUUCCUUCAUCAAAAAGCAAAGAACAUGAUUUAGGACACAGUUACAUCUUAAGUUAAUGUGUUUUUAUCUUAAAUUAAUGUUGUACACACUGAAAACGUAAUAAAUUGUUUAUACUCCCUCCGUCCCGUUUUGUUAGUCUUGGUUUUUUUUUCACACAGAUUAAGAAAGUGUAAUUAAUUUGGUUGGAAACAUAAAUUUAGAUUAAUAAUUUCCUAAAAUACCCUUAUGCUAAUCACGAAGAGUGCCAAUUAAUAUCAGUUACAGCUAAUGGUGCCAAUAAAUAUCAGUUACCGUCAAUAGUGCACCGCCAAUAGUUACCGCCAAUAGUGCACCAUGAUUGUUUCAAUUACCGCCAAUAGUGCCAAUAAAUAACAAAGAUAGACUUUUCAUUUAUCUAUGUAUUGGAAAAGCUCAAUGUAUUCAAUGUAGUGGGUUAGUAUUUAAUAACAAUGUAUUAAUAACAAGAUAUUUAAUAAGGUUAUUUUAGACAAUUUGAAAGAUUACUACAUUCCUUAAUGGGAAAGUGGACUACAAUUUGGAACAGACGAAAAAGGAAAACAAGACUAACAAAACGGGACGGAGGGAGUAUCAUGUAGGUGUAGUGAUACGAACCUGACUCUCCAAACUCCCGCUUUUCAAAGAGACAAUUUGACUAGACAGUGAAAAGACCUAUGUUGACCAAGUUAUGGAUAAUAUUGGGAUGGAAAAUAGGGUAGGCCGGUCACAAUUUAGGUGAAUACCAAACUGAUAUGACACUCAAUCCACUCAAAAAUCCUCACUUGAGAUGAACCAAAAUUUGAAAGACAAGAGUUUCCACUUAAACUUGAAGAAAGAACGAAAUUUCAAGUUUCAUUCAUUUGAAUCGACCGUCUAUUACAAUGAUGUUUAAAACCUUAUAUAGGCAAAACCCUAACCUAAACCGAAAUCCAAAUCGAACUUGGACUGAUUUCACUUAUUUAAUAACUAAUCUAUUGGAUUCAACUAAAUUAACGGCCCAUUAAGUUCAAAACUUAACACAAGAUUGGCCAUUUUAUUGACUAAAUACAUCUAACCAAAUUACUUAGUAAAAAGUCAAACAAUAAUUACUUAAAACAGACAAAAUAGGAAAAAUCCUAAAAGAAAUUAAUGACACAAAAACCGCAGAUGGAUUACACAUAAAUUCCACUGGUUAAAUGGACCGGUUUGUGAGCAAUAAUUUAAUCUUCCUUCUCGAGCUAAGUCAACAUCUUCCAAGUUUCUUGCUUGAACCUCCUUGCAUUCGAAUUAAAUUAAUGGAAAUUUGAAAAGGUUUCUUAAUCCGUCCUGCACAAGCUUUAAUGUCCAUAUCAUGUAGACUAUAUAUAUGUUUAUAUGAGUUUUUCUAACGAGUGUCUAUUAAACAUUUGUUAACAUAGCUAAAUGCCAACUAACCUACCAUGCAUGUAAACAAUAUAACAAUUAUCAUCACUUUUCUUUACCUUUAUAUACUUUCCCUAAUUAAUCAUACAUUUCCAAAGAUCUAACACCUAAAAUACGUCUUCACCAUUGUUCAUUGAACAUCCAUUAGACAAACCCUGUGUGUAUAUCACAAGACAGAAUACUGCAAUUCCAAUCCACUUUCAAAUUAAUUUGCAAUAAAUUUCUCCAAUCAUUUCAAUGUCUUGUAUAUCCUCCAAUUCUCGUGUUGCUUCUUGACCAUCGAACAUCUCAUGAUGCCCGUGCAGCUAUACCUUUUUAUUUUUAUUUUUAUUUUUUUUAUGAAUCCACACAAAUUGUGCGUACAAUAAACCAUAUAUGUGGGAUAAGUAAUACACAUAUCUUUAACAUCAGAAGCACCUUUAGAGUGACCUCUUAACCAGCUCGAGUAAGUAUGCUGGUUGACACAACAUUCUUACUUAGUUACUGAUUUUCAAGGUAUCCUAACAUAAAACUAAAAGGUCCCUCAAGUCAUGGAUCAAAUUUUCUUACUUUACAAUACACCUAAAUUUUCUUCAAUUGUUCUCGAUGCAUCAAUUUUUUCAAUGUGGUAAAUUAAUCGAUUAAGUUCGCCCAAAUUGAAUAUGAUUUUUAAUGGGGUAACAUGUUUCUGCGUCAAAAGAUAAUUUAACCGCCAAUAACCGAUGACUUGUGGAUUGAGGAGGGAAAAAAAUUCACUAGAGGAGAUAUCUGUCCAUAGAUCAUUAAUUUUAUAAGCCCAUAAUUGUCCCACUAUUUCUAUGUGUGAAAAUAUAUUUUUUUUUUCUUUUUUAAGCAAAUGAUGGAUUUUAAGGCUAUCUUUAUAAUUUCAGUGCAACAUGUAUACCUAAGUUGUCAAAAUUCGUUCAAUUUGAGGUUGAUUGGUCGAUUGUAUCAUGAAUUCGGAGUUUUGCACCCAGUUCUUACUCCUGGACCUCAACUGCUGUUUCCACAACUAGAGAAGCACUCAUUGGCAUUUCACACUAAUAUAAAUUAAGUUGAUUUUCUUCAUCACUAAAUUGGUUAAUUUUUUUUUAACAAAAAAAAUUGAAGCAAAUUAAUCAUUGUCAACAAAUUUGCUUUUUAGCAUUAUUGCAACACAUAUUUGCAUACACUUGAUUGCAAAACUUUGACUGCUGAGCGAUCCCGUGAAGAAUAAAGGCUAGCAAGAAUGGUUUUUGGUUGGAAAGAGAGAACAAGGGGAAAAAAAUGAAAAAUUAACAAAACCCAAAAUUGUAUUCAGCUGCCGGGAUUCGAACCCGAUGAGUUUCACUUGAGCCAAUUUGAUAAGUGCCACAGCGGAUUUACCAUGAGAUAUAUGAUAUAUGUUUUAUCCAACCGUGAUAGUAUAUACACUGGCAGUGUAUAUAAAAUUUACUUUAUUUUUAUUCCAUAAUAAUAUUCGUCUCUUCUUUAUAGGGGAAGGGAGUAUAAAAGAGAAUUCCAAGAUUUGAGAUUUCCCCACUCGCACUAUACAAAAAAAAAAAAAAAAAAAAAAAGAACCUCUUCUUUUUCUUUUAUGCAUUCUACAGAAAUUAAUAAUAUGUUCAUAAGUCACCUCCCAGACCAUGAAUUUUCUUGAAUGCCAAAUUUUAAAAAUCCUACUAAUAUCUAUUCGGAGUUUCUUUAAUUUUAAGUCCGUACACACCCAUACACACAAAACAAUAUGGAAUUGUAAACUCAACUCGGAAAAAAUCACAAAGCCCAGGUUUUUCAAGAACAUGUUGAAGUGUGAUCCAAUGAUAUGCUAAGGCCCAAACAAAAACUCAUAAAGUUAACGUAUUUUCAACUUUUUUUUUAAUCCACUUACUUCUCCCUACAUCCUUUCCACCCCUAUUCAGUAAAAUUUACAUGUAAAAUUAAAAUUUUCCUUUUUUGAUUCGUUAAACUUUGACUGCUGAGCGAUCAAGUGAAGAAUAAAGGUUGGCAAGAAUGGUUUUUGGUUGGGAAGGGAGAAAAGCGGGAAAGAGCGAUCAAGUGAAGAAUAAAGCAGAAAAAAAAGAAAAAUUAACAAAAAUCAAAAAAAUGUUUUCCGCUGCCGGGAUUCGAACCCGGAAGAACCCAGUUUGAUAAGUGCCACAGCGGAUUCACUGCCAGUUGUAUACGAGUCUCAGUUGAAUUUAUUUAAACUAUAAAGUUCUGAAACUCCUGAUAUCCAUCUAAUAUUUCCUUUUUCCAAAAGUGAUCCUUUGAACCCCAAUUUCUAUCACCAAGUUUUUUUUUUGGUUCCAUUCUACCUCUUCUUUAUCUUUUAUGCAUUCUACAGAAAUUAAUACUAUGUUCAGAAGUUACUUCCCAAACCAUGAAUUUUCUUGAAUGCCAAAAUUUAAAAAUCCUACUAAUAUCUCUUUGGAGUUUCCUAAUUUUAAUCCCAUUCACUAAAAUUUACAUGUAAAAUUAGAAUUUUCCGAAUAAAUAACUUGUACACAAUAAGAACUGUAACUCUACUACUAUGGGAACUCGAAUAUAUAUAUAUAUAUAUAUAGCCUUUUUCCUUUUGGGAUUUCAAUAUGUCGUCAACGACUGACAUUGUUAAUAGCUAAAUUCGGGGUUGGCUAAAUUAUUGGUUCAAUAUAAAUACUAAUAAGAUUCAAAUAAAAUUUUCCCUACCCUUUUCCGACUUCUUAAAUUUUGCUGAAAAUAUUUAAAGAUUCAAAUAAAAUUGUCAAUAAAUGUCACAUCAAUGCAGACUUGCUCAAUGAAUUAGUGAAUGCUGCAUGUUUUAAUACAUGGGAUGAUUAAAUAAACUUAACGGCCAUUCUCUAGACAAGUUAGACAAAGAAAUGUGUUAGAAAAAUGCCAGAGGACAAAAUGUAAACUGCAAAGCUAUAUUCAAAGACUCAAGAUUGAAGAGCCGAACCAAACAAUAACUGAACCAGUUCUUUCUCCAUUACACUUUAAAAUCUAAGGAAUUUGGAACAUUUUAAUAAAUUAGCAAAGCAAAAUAUAUAUAUUAGAGAAGAUAGAUUACCGAGGCUCAAUUCUUUAACCUCGCAGAAAACAAGAUCAAGUGGCUGUGGACUUCCAACCAUGUGUUACCAUGACCACUAUAACAUUGUUAAUUAACGUCCAAAUGAAAGUAACAUAACAUUAUCUAACUUUGAUGUGAAGUUACAAAACUGGACGAGACUCAAAACCGGUUCAAACUGAAAUUGAAUAAAACUGGCAGGAGUCCAUGCAAAAUCAAAAUCCACGUUUAGGUGGCUUUCUUCAAAAGAAAAAAAAAAAAACCGAAGCUGAAUUGUUUGGAUGGAAAAAGUUGUAGGUGAUUAUCACAUCCAUAUAGCCUUGGCCUUGAUAAGCAAUGGCUUUAACUUGCCCUGGACAUUGAGGCUCAUAACCUCAUUGGAACCACCAACAAAGAGCUUCCCUAUGAAAACAGCAGGAACACUUGUAUGGGAUCCUAAUGCUAGCAAUGCAUUCUCGAUCUCCCUUCCUUUGGGAUGAUAAUCAAGCUCAAAAAACAGUAGGAUUCGCCCCGAAACUGCAUAUCAACAUCUUAAUAGCAUGGGAUAUGCAGCAGUUGCUCUUGCUGAAUAUCACAACUGGCUUUUCUGACCCCAAUCUCCUCACUGCUUCCAUUCUGCUUUUGGGAAAAAUAAAAAUAAAAAGUCGAUCGAGAGAAGUGAUCAAAGGCUUGAAAAUGUGCACUAAUCUUACUUGAUUUGAUAGGAAUUGUAGGACUUGCUUUGAUAAAAAAAACUGGAGUGCAUGAAGGUAUAUAUGGAAUGCUGAAGAUGAAUGCAAUAAUUUUUUAACGAAAAGAUUAUAGGGAUGCAAAAUAUUGCUACAAAAUUUGAUGCCUGGAUCAAAUCAGCAGCUAUAUGAAAAACGGUUGAUAUGUCCCGACUAGACAGAAUCUCAACAUGCUUGAAGAUUCUGAAGUUGGUUUUUUCAUGCAAAAAACAGGAAAGUAAUAGAUGAUAACAGUAGUUUUUUGCCUUUUAUCACAUUGGUAUAUUUCCUUAUGCUGUAUAAGAAUCAGUUGUGAUCAAAGAGGGUUUGAAUUUCAACUGUAUGGAUAAAAGGGCUUUUUCGGAAUGUGAAAUGUUGUAUAGUUUUUUUUAAAGUUUUUGGUACAAUUGAGGGCAGCAUGUGUUUAGAUAUAUUUAUCAAAAUGCCCUCAUUUUAGUACAUUUAAAACUUUGAUUUAUGCGAUAAUUUCAGAAACCUCCCCUGAGCUUUGUCAUAAUAUCACUCAACUCCUCUCAAGUUUUUAAAAUCUCACUUACCUCCCCUCAAGUUUUAAUCCAGAAUUUGAGUCAAUCAUCUAGUUAAUUUCUUGCCAAGCGAUAAAUGCAUCACAAGACUAUAUUUUAGAUUAAAAGUGUGUUUAAUUAAAUCCUACGCCUCUCUCGAUGGUCAUAAGAGUUCAAGUAAAUCCAUUAAAAUUCUCAAUAAUAUAGGUGUAUUACACAUAAUUUAACAUAUUCUCGUGAUUAAUCUAUGUGUGUUUAUCUAUUUAUUGCACGGUUGUAUCUCAUUUCUCAAGAGAAAAAGAAGCUAUUGUUUAUCUAGUUGACUGACCCCUAGCCUCAAUAGCAAAAAGAAUCUCCCACCCAAAUCUAGAAACAGCGUAGAAUCCUUGACUAAACCAAACGAGGGGCAUGCCAUAAGGCUCAGUAUUUAGAAGGGAGAAGAAGGUACCAAGAAGGGCUCAAGCAGAUUCUCCACGAUCUUGAGACUCGCCCACCAUAGAUGCCUUUCAAGAUUUUCUCCACAUGAUAAGUGGACUAAGUAAUUAUAUGGAGGAUACAAUCAUAUUUAUCCUUCAUAUCUCAUCAUAUAUUCCUUGGGAAGAAAAAUGCUUAAUGACAACUAAGGGUCAGUUUGUAACUUUUUUUUGUUUUGUCGUUUUGCUGCGUUAAAGAAUCUAGGCUUCCAUUUCAAAAUCGAUUAGCACUAAGUGAAGGGAUUCAAGAUCUUCAUUAAUCAUUUUAUUGGUUAGUCUCCCAACCAAUAUGGAUUAUUUAAGCUUUAAUCAAACUGAAUUGCUCUUUUUGACGAACUCUUAAUAGCUUCCAACGCUAGUCCAUGUCAACUAUUAGCAAAAAUCUGCCAUGUCCAUUCGCCACAUCGAAGGCAUAUAUCCUGUGAAAAACGACAUCAGAAAUGCAACGACAGCUUGCAUAUCUCAUUUUUUUUUUUUUAUUGUUCUUGUAAGCGAAGAGUGGAAUUUAAAAAGUAGGAAGAGAAUAAGGGAAUUAAAAACCUAGCUAAUAUUGCUAAGGGCUUUUCUAAUGGAUGCUCUAAGGGCACCAUUAACACAUUCAAUAUUCACCUAACUUACUAUAUAUAUAUAUAUAUAUAUGCAUACUAACAAUUAUUAUCUUCUCCUGCAUUUAUAUACUUUUCUUAUUUAAUUUUGUCUACCCUCUCUUGUAUUUAUUUAAUUUUCCUAAUUAAUUUUGUAAUUCCAAAAAAUAUAACACCUGAAAUAUAUUUUAACAAGUGCCCAUAGAGCACCCGUUGGACAAAUCAUAUUUCUAAUUUCUGAAGUUACAACCUUAGCUAUGAGGCCAUUUGCAUCUCUCAUCUUAACUAUUCUAAAUGUGCAAAUGACCUCCAACAUUAAUUUGUGAACAUUACUAGAAAAGAAUCACAUGUAGCUGCAUAAAUCCUUCAUGAAAAAGGAAAAAAAUCUUAGGACACGAAGAUUAUCUUUAUCUGACAAGAUAGAGUACAAUAAAAAAAUUCUCCAUUCAAUUCAAAGUCUUGUAUAUUUUGGAAAUCAUGCGUUGUUUCUACAAUCAUCUAUAAGCAACCAUGAAUUAACGACUAUUGAAUGUCUCAUGAUGCUGAGUAGUCGCACUUUUAUAAGUAACCACACUCAUUGGAUCAAUGCGAAUGGACUUACCCCUAAGUAUUAUUUUCUUUCUUAUUAACUAGUAACCUACACUCUAAGACACUUCGUCUGUAACCGACAAAUUACAGAUUCGAAUCAUCAAGGGGUAAGUAGAGAAUUAUUCUUGAUCCUCUCAAAAAAAUUUUUAAAAAAAAAAAGUUACAAUACCCCUUAGGAGCUUCAAUUUUUUUGGGUAAUUAUGAAAUGUUCCUCAAAAAAUAGGUUGAGUUCUUUCGCUUUAAACCACCCGGGCUCAUUUCCAAAUCAACCUAUCUGGCCCCUGUUCUUUUUCAUCAAUUAUUCUCGUUGUAUAAAAUUUUGUUCAAUGCCAUACAAUGAAUUAAGUUUGUCCAAAUCGAAUAUAAUUUUUUCAUCAGAUGACAUGCACUUGUUGCAUCAAAAGAUAAAUAGACCACCAAGGAAACCAACGAAUUUGUGGAUUUAAGAAGAAAAAUAUGCAUCAGAGUUACAUAUUUGUCCGUAAAUCAUUGGUCGUAUAGAGCUCGUAUUUGUCCUUUUAUUUUUUCGUGUGUGUCAAUACAUGUUUUCACCCAAAUAUUUGAAUUUAUUCAUGCAAAUUUUUAUCGUAUAAUUGUUACUGUUUACCUGAGUUGUCAAAAUCCGGCUCAAUUAUUGAUGAAUUGAUGGAACUUUUGCUUUUUCUGUCUUUUUUUCGCCUUUUACUCUUUAAUUGGCUGCGCAGUAAAAAUCUUGUAACAUGGUUAAUAACUCAAGCAUCAUUGAAACUUGAAUUUUAUUACCAACAAAGAAAAAAUACUUGAAUAUACAACGUUUUCAUCUCAUGACUUCGAAUUGUCCUUUUUUAAAAAAAAAAAAAAUUAGAGAUUACAAGUGCAACAACUCAAAAAAAGUAGAACAACUUAUUCACAAAUACUAAUACUGGAACUAACAACAACUAAACAAUGUACUAAAACUCCCAUUUGGGAGUUUAUAACAACCUUAUUCUCACUCUUGAAUCUCAACCUUGGUUUUUUCUUCAUAAGCAAUUUACAUUAUUUUGUUCAUAGCUAAAUUGGAUGAAAUGUGAAAUUUUUUAGCAAAGCAAUGUCAAACUUCAAUUCCUGGGAGAUCAAUAAAGGCCAGCACUUAGCAAUAAUGGUUUUUGGUUGGGAUCGAAGAAAAAAAAGGUCACAGAAGCAAAAUUUCUACUGCUGCCAGGAUUCGAACCUGGUUAAUUAGCUUUACUUAAGCCAGUAUGAUAAGUGCUACAGCAGAUUUGUCCCUUGUUGCUUCCAAGAGUCGGUUUGACAUAGCUAUUCUUUUCCGUGGAAAAAAUUUUCAUCCAGUGACUAAGAUUGAGACGUCUAGACAUUAGAGAUUCUAAAUUUAAAUUCCUCCUUUCUCUUCCAUGUUUCUUGAAUUUCAUUCCUCUCAACUAGCCACUCAACAACAAAGAACCUGAUCUAGUUAGUUUGAUUAUGUAGCAAAUUAAAAGUAUGGGAGAAGAUAACUCGUAAAUUAGCUAAACUCAUUUCUUUCCCAUUUGCAUUUUGAAACUGAAGCCUAGUGGAACAGGAUAUAGUGGCAUGGGUGGUCUCCUAAUUAAUACUUCCUCCAUUCCAAUUAUUUUGUCAUGUUUCGAAAAUCUAAUUUUUUAAAAAUAGUACUUUGAUUGUAAUAUUUAUAUUUCUCUUUCUAAUUUUACCCUUAGAAAUUCAAAAUUUGAGUUUGAAUGAUAACAUGCAUAUAAUUAAAGAUAAGAAUUAUAAUGGAAGGAAAUACUAAAAAGUGUUUUGACUUUCUUAACAUAACAAAUAUUUUGAAACAUUCCAAAAUAAAAAAUAUGACACUUUCAAUGGGACAAAAGGAGCACGAGUUACCAUGAUAUGACCCACUAGACAUUUUUAUUAUUUCAUAAUGAGAGUACAAGAACGUAAUACAUAUAACUUUGAUGUGAUAUAACUCGACGAAGACUCGAAACGGGUUUAAACUAAAAUUUAAAAAAAAAAAAAAACUGGUAAGACUCCAUGCUAAAACAAGACAGGAGACCUAGGCUGAAUUGCUUAGAUGGUAAAUUCUAUAUGUGUUUAUCACAUCCAUAUUGCCCUGGCCUUGAUGAGCAAUGGCUUCAACUUACCCUGGACAUUGAGGUCCAUAACCUCGUUGGAACCACCAACAAAUUGCUUCCCUAUGAAAACAGCAGGUACACUUGGAUGGCAUCCUAAUGCUAGCAAUGCAUUCUCCAUUUCCGUUCCUACUGGAUGUUGAUCAAGCUCAUAAACAGUAGGAUUCGCCCCGAAACCGCAUAUCAGCAUCUUAAUAGCGUGGGAAAUGCCGCAGUUGCUCUUGCUGAAGAUCACCACUGGCUUUUCUGACCCCAAUCGCAUCACUAUAUCCAUUCUACUUCUGGCAAAAAUGUGAAAUCAAGAGCUAUAUAUGAAUGUGCUCCAGCAAUUGAGUUGAUAGGAAGUUAUAAGGCUUGCUUUGAGUGAAAACCUGAAGCGCAUGAAGGUAUAUAUAGAGGGCUGGCUGAGAAUGAUUGGUUGCAAUAUCUCUUUUUUGGAUAACAACAAAAGGGCUAUAAGAUUACUGUUGCAAAUUUGAUGCUUUGGGGGUCACAUCAACAGCAAUAUGAUAAAGGAUUGAUAUGAAUCUCAAGCUGCAUUAACAUCCUGGCAUUGGGUUUUCAUGCAGAAAAAGGAAAGUAAUCGACGAUAACAAUCUUUUUGCCUUUCCUUGAUGCUUAGUGCAUACGGAUACUACUGCUCAUGGAAUCGAUGCGGGAGUGGGGCAUGCAUUUGUGUUGUAUUUGGUUUAGUCCAGUUAUUAUGCAUGUUAUGAUUAUUGUUGUACAACCACAUAAUUUUAUUUAUUGUACCAAUUAUGUAUGAAAAUUUUAAAUUACGUAUAUCAACUUUUUCACGAAUACAACAAUAUAAUGCUAUUAUAUACCAAACAAUGUAAUAUGUAUAAUAAUCGCAAGAAUCGCAUGAAACCAUAAUUGCACAACCCAUGAAAAACAGUUUUUGUUUUAAGCUUUUUGUCCCAAAAUAUUACCAAAGAAAUGAUAAUUAUAUGCAAAGAUGAUCACAUAAUGGCAUGACUGAAGUUAAAGUUCAGCUCAAUAAGGUAAAAUUAGUUGCAGAGUUAGGACCUAAUGUUAGACAGGGCAAUUACUUUGAUGCAUAAUGAUACGGUACAAUUACGGCAAAAUUUUUUGUUGAAAAACUUUAAUAACUAGUAUGAUAAUUGUGUGAAUUUUGUUAAAAUUGUAUAGUGUUUCACAAUAAUAAAAAUUAGAUGACAAUUAUUUUUUCAUUCAAUAGACAACAAAAUCUUAACGAUUUUAUGUACCAAAAGUUUUAAAUUUUAUUUUCUGUCUAAAUUCUCAACUAAUACUUGGCCUCAUUUCAAGCAUUCCAUUAUUCAUAAAUUAAGUGAUAAUUGUAGAUUUCAAGAACUCAAAGGGGCAAAGUAAUGAAAUAUAAGAAAUUUUAAAAAAAUUUAGGGGUACAAAAAGGGUGUACUCGAACCGAGUCGAGCUCGAGUACUGCUAUACUCGAGCUCGAGCUUGAUCGAGUCGGAGAAUCUCAACUCGAGCUUGACUCGAGGAAAUUGUUAAAAGCUCGAGACUCGACUCGAUAAGGCUCGACCUUGAGUCAAGCCUUAUCGAGUCGAGUAAACUGAUCAAUCGAGUUUUUUUUAUCAAUCUCGUAAAUUCAGUAUAAAUUAUACCCAUAAUGGUCAUUUUAUAAUUAUAAUACAUACAUAUUAUUUAAAUUAUACUACUCGACGAGUAGCUCGUCGAGCCACGAGCUGCAAAAAUCCGGGCUCAAACUCGACUUGAACGUAUACUCGAGUAAGUCGAGACUCGGCUCGAACUCGGUUUGACCGAUUUCAAGCCAAGUCAUUGACCGAACUACUCAUGAGCAGCUCAGCUCGCGUGCAUCCCUAGGUGCAAUUAUAGGACAAAAUUAAAAUUUUAAAAUAUUUCCAAGCCUAUUUCAAAAUGCUUCAAAGUUGAGGGGAAGCAAUUGCAAACCCUCACUUGAAUGUGGCUCUACCACUGGCUAAAAUGACAAAAUAUUAAUAGGAACAAUUAUUAUGUAAUUUCCAAACCAAGCAUUGAGUUCCCUAAAGCCAAAGCCUUUCCUCGACAAUGUCGAACUCAAAAUUAUAAGAACAAGGAGAUUAGCAAUACUCUAUGAUAAGGGUUUAUUUUACGUAUUUUUGAGUGCAUUUUAUUAGUUAAUUCUGGUUCCAUUAUUUAGUUUUAUAACUAAAACAAUUAGGGUUUUGGUAAAAAUAUAUAUUUUCUAUUAAAGUGGCUAACAUUGCAUUUCUAUUGCUUUUAAGGGUAAAUACUUCAUUUUCUUGCAGGAUUAAUGAUUCAAUCAUCAAAGGGUAUGAAUGGAGAAGAAAAUCUGAUGAUUGGUGAUGAAUUAAAGUGUGUAAAGAAGAAAUGAAGUGAAAAACAUUUAAUUGAAGAAAUGCAGUUCGAGAUAGUUUCGACACUUUUCGGUAUUUCGACUAUAUCUGGAGCUACAUAUAUCAGAUUGAAGUGAUCUUUAUACCAUUUUGAAGCUAAGAGAUAGAUCUAUAUUUGGUAUGAAGAUAUCGAAAUCCAAUUCUGCUGUUUUCAUGGACAAAAAGUCGAAAUACAGAAGCUGCAUUCUAUGGACGAGGCUAAAACAGGGGUUUGACCAAGUGAUAGUAUUUCAAUCAUAUCUCAGUCUACAAAGAUCCGAUUUGGAUGAUGCUUGAAGCAUUGUAAAUCUAAUUCAAAGGGCUACAACUUUUGUGUUUUUCACAAAAGUUAUUUCGACCUCCAUUAUAGAGAAAAUCGCAGUUGAAGUGAGGCCAAUUUCACAGAGUUGAAAACGCGAGUUGAGAAAACGUGUCUUGAUGGCGCGUUUUGUCAAGUCGCGUUUUGUAGCCAAAAUUCUACAAUUUGCUCAGCCAUUUCUCUUGUAUUCAUACUACUUUCUAGCUAUAUUUAGCAAGAGAAUUCGGUUGCACAUGCUUCAGAAGAUAAAGGGCAGAAAAGAUGGCUUAUUGUCAAGUCAAAAACAUUUGUUAUUGACUAUCUUAACAAAUUUUAGAUUUGGGAAUCUAGAGGUGGAAAUUUGACUAAUGGAAAUGAGUUUUUGAGCUGUUUUUCCGCAGAGAAAAAUGGGGAAGUCAGUGGAGAUACGGACGGCAAUUUUCUGAUAAAAACACAUUCUCUCUAACUAACAAAAUUUGGCAGGCACACUUGGAGAUUUCAUCUUGUAAUCAUCUAGUGCAAGACAUAGCAGAAUUUUGGGAGCUUCACCAUUAACUUGGCUAAGCUUUUCUUUAUCCUUCUUGUAAUUGUAACUCAUGAUGUUUUCCAUUAAUGAAGUUAUGAGUUUGAUUAUUUUAUCAUUCAUGAGUAGCUAAUUUUCUAUAUCUAGGGAGUAGAUGAAACUUAUGGCCAAGUGAUAUAAAUUGAAUGUAAUUUACACUUGUUGUAUCUUGUAUUAACUUGUCUUCUUGUGCAGAUUGAUUACUUAUUGUUGUUUGAUCACCAUUAGCGGGUCAUUAGUUGCUAUUACUCAAUGAAAAUUGGUAAUGAUAAUGGAAUAACAUAAGUAGACCUUGAGUUGUAGGUUCAUGAGAAUAGAAAUACAUUCAAGUGGAUUAAUUUCAUGCAUGAACAAGAGCAGUUUUAGUUUUAAUCAAGAGAUUAGAGAAAUCUAGACUGUUCUAAGCCUUAUUAUCAUGAGAAUGAAAUUUUGGCAAUUUUGGAAAUGAAUCCCUAGUUAAACAAGAGUAGUAACAAGUAUUAAAUUCAUUCAUUUCGAUCUUUUGUGCCAUAAGUGGAAUCUACAUCCCUAGAUUCAAGUUUUUAGUGAAUUUUCUCCAAUUGUAACUUGCAUUUAUUAAAUCAGAUUAUAGACAGUAGCAAAUAUAAUUUUUCUGCUCAAUCUCAUUAUAAGUCUAAAUAAUAGAGAAAAUAAGGACCUAGUACUUGUAGACAUUGCUCCUCGUGGGAUCGAUCCGAUUAAUGCACUAAACUACUAGUUUGGCCUGUAUACUUGCAGUCAACGGGUAUAAAUUAGAAUUAAACUUACACUUAUAUCAAAAACCCGUCACUCUCAAAUAUGGUAUGGAAAGACUAAUUUACAUAUACAAAAUUAUGAGUGAAAAAAAUUACAAAAUCUACAAUACAUUACUAUCAAACAUUGAAAUUAAGACCCUACAACUCUUACUCUUCUCAAACAAAUACAAUAACAAGGCACUUUACUUAUAAUUCAUCAGUGAUAAACAAGAAACAACCACCACAAGAAAUUACCUAAAUAGAGUAUUAUUCAAACUGCUAGAAAUAAUUGACUUGAGUACUACUCAAACUACUAGAAGUAAUUGACUUGACCCAAAACCUACUAAUAAAAAAUUUUGAAUUUUAUAAUAUAAUUAGACUUGUUUUAAUAUGCGAAUAGGCAAUAUGAAUUUUACAAAUCUGGCCAGAAAUAUUAAAACAAUUUUUCUAAAAUAUCCCUCUUAAUAAAAAGAGAAAAGAUUUUAUUAUUUAGCUAAAUGAAUCAUCCCUCAACCAAUAUAAGGAAUCUCCCUCUUCAACAGAAAUAAUAAUAAUAAUAAUAACAAUAACAGAUUUUUUUUAUAUAUAUAUACGUUAAAAUUUGUUCCAAAGUGGCAAAAUUAUGAUAAAGCUGAUCCAGAAAGUGAUCUACAAUAGAACUAGAUAAUUCUCCACCCAUCCAUUUCAAGAAACAGCACACAAUCUUCGAGUAAAUAAUUAACCAUGAAUGAUGAGCACGUAAUUGAUCCGUACAAAAAGGACGAAGAUGGUAUCAAGAUUAAUGGCUCCAAACUGUAGCAGAUUCUCCGUUUUGAGCAAUUUUCUUCUUUAUAGCUAAGAAUAUGCUUUCUUGAUUUUCUCCACAUGAUCAUAUUGUCUUUGCCAUCUUAUCAUAUAUUCCUUGAUCAUAUAUGUAGAUGCUUAAUGGAGCUAAAGGUCGGUUCUGUAAUCUUUUUGAAAUUAGAUUAAAGGGCUGAGGAUGAAGCCCUCAUGCUGUCAUGCAUAAGGUGCAAAUCUAAAUAUUUUGAUUUUGAGCAUCUUAAAGUUGAUCAAAUCUGUUCUUAAGAACUAAACAAGGAGAAGAAUGAAAUGGGAAAAAGACAAAGAUUAAUCUUUAGUACAUUGUCAAAGUAAUGAUUUAUUUUAUACUAACAGAUUUAGAUGCAACUCUUUAUCGAAUUUGAAAUCUUCCUUUUGCAAAUUCUAUCAUGCAUUCACGUUUUUGUAAAAAAGCUUUUACAAUGACAGUAAAAGAAAAAACAAUUCAUAACAAAAUGCUUGCAUUGCAAAUUGAAGCCUAUUCUCAAACAAGAAAAAAAAAAAAAAAAAAGUUCCUUGACGGUAUAUGAUAUCCACUGUCUUGUAAUUGAACUCUUAUAUAUGAAUUUUCCACCUUGUUAAACAGUUAACCUUGAGACCCGUAAAAGAUAGGUAUAGUGUAGAUUUAAAUUCAUGUUCACUAUUGGAACAAAAUCCACGUUGACCCCAAUAUCUACAUUAACCAUAUAUGAUCAUGAAAUUCUUAAUUCGACUCUCAAACUCUCCAUUUUAUUUUGUUUUUUUUUCAAGGCUUGAAAUCUCCCUUGAAUUAAAAACAAACAAAUAUAUGGAUAUUGAGUCUUCGAGUGCUCUUGUUAAUGCUAAUGUUGAUAUGGAAUCUGGUGUCCUGAGCAAAAUUGUGGUUAAUAGCUCUCAUUCUAUAAAUAUUUCAGUUGACGAUCAUGUGAAUCAUGUUCAAUCUCCUCCUUUGCUGCAUGAUAUAUAGUCUUAAGUUUUUUAUUGAUACUGGGUAGGGAAUAGGGAUCAAAUAUUUCUGAUGCAUCUCUUGUGUAGGUUAGGUCUGAUGAGGGUGCUUGUAGUAACUCUCAGGUGGAUCCUUUUUGGCUGACUAAUGAUUUAUGGCAAAUGAAUCUGGUUGGUAAUUAUUCCAGUAUUUCACAAAGUGCCAAUAAUGAUAACAAUGAAGAAGAUCAUUAUUCACAAAAUGAAAGGGAUGAAGCCUUUAGUGAAAAUUAGUUUAUCCCAAUAAUUUCAAAGAAGGUCAAGGGACAGAAGGGAACAUUCAGAGUCUAGCAAGACAAUGCAAACACAAUAAAAGUUUAAGAUUAAUUUUCUAUACACUGACAGUGUAUACACUUUUACCAUUAGAUGCAUGAUACAUAAUUCGAAUUUGAAUUUGAAACUCAAAUAUUGUAUAUGUAUCAUAUAUCCAAUCGUGAUAGUGUAUACACUGUCAGUGUAUAUAAAUUUAUUCAAAAGUUUAAAUAAAAAACUCAAACCAAUCCAUUAUACUACAAACGUGGAGCGUGUUGAGAUUAUUUAUUAUUAAAAUUUGUCAAGUUUACAUUUAGUCAAACUCGGAGGUAUAUACCUAAUUUUUUAUGAGAAAAAAAAAUAUAAAUAAUCCCCCCAAAAGAAAGCUAUUUGAUUACCACUAUUGCAACUUAGACACAUAACCUUUAUCCUCUUGGGACUUUAACCUAUCACAAGGCUGACAUCGUUCAUAACUAAAUGGUUAUUAAUUAUUUAACCUUUCCCCAAAAAAAGUGCUUGAUUUUUAAACUUUCUCUACAAAUCAGCUUUGGAAAAAUGUGCACCACUUGUAGCAAUGUGCUUUUCUCACCAAUUCCACAAAUAAGUGGAGCCCAAAGUUUUCAUUUUUCCUUUUUUUUUUUUUGGUUCCAUUCUUGACCUUUAGUGACCAAAAAAGGUGUAUGGGGCGGAGGGAUUCACAGCAAUUAAGAGUUGAAAAUGGCUGGAGUUUAUUAGUGCUCUUAGUAUCUCUAAAGAGGAAACUGGAAUUGACUGUUCAAUUGACAGCAAUAAGAGCUGAACUUGAUGUAUCAUUGCUAGGGAAAAAUAUGCCCUUUCCUUUCAGGUUUUAAGUAACCAUUUCUCUCAAAUAGCAAAAAUUUGAGAACAUUACUUAUAACUAAACCAUUUCUUCUCCAUGACACUGUAAAUCUAAAGAACUUGGUAAAGUUUAAUCAAUUAAUUAGCAAAGCAAAAGUAUGAGAGAAGAUAAAAAUUGGCUGAACUCAAUUCUUUUCCAUUGUCACUUUAGAACUAAAACGUCACAGAAACAAGGAUCGAUCAAGUGGCAUGGACUCCUAAAUAUGAGUUACCAUGACCACUAUAACAUUUUAAAGACUCAAAACCGGUUAAUACUGAAAUUUAACAAGACUGGUAGGAGUGCAUGCUAAACCUACAUUCUCCUUUAGAUGGCUUUCUUCAAUUAAAAGACAAAACAAGAAAGAAAAGUUUCAGUUCGAUGGUAAAUUCUAUAUGUGACUUCUACAUCCAUAUUGCAUUGGCCUUGAUAAGCAGUGGCUUCAACUUGCCCUGAACAUUUAGGUUCAUAACCUCAUCAGAACCACCAACAAGUAGUUUCCCUAUGAAAACAGCAGGAACAGUUGGAUGGCAUCCUAAUGCUAGCAAUGCAUUCUCAAUGUCCCUUCCUUCUGGAUAUUGAUCAAGCUCAUAAACCGUGGGAUUUGCCCCGAAGCUGCAUAUCAACAUGUGAAUAGCAUGGGAUAUGCAGCAGUUGCUCUUGCUGAAGAUCACCACUGGCUUUUCUGAACCCAAUCUCUUCACUAUAUCCAUUCUACUUUUGGCAAAAAUGUGAAGUCCUGGGCUAAAUGAUGUGCUCUAGUAUUUUACUUCAGAGGAAGUUUGAGGCUUGCUUUGUGUGAAACCUGAAGUUCUUGAAGGUAUAUAUAGAGGGCUGGCUGGCUCCGGGCUAGUGAUGGAAGAUUUAUAACAUUUUUCUUCACAAAAUAGCAAAAGGGCCGCAAGAUUUUGCUUGGAAAGUUGAUGCGUUGGGGUUCAUAUCAGCAGGUACGUGAGAAAAGGAUUGAUUUGUAUUCCCUACUAUAGAGUAUCACAAGUUGCAUUAGCAUCCUUGCAUCGGUUUCUCAUGCAGAAAAUGGAGAGCGGUAGGUGAUAGAUAAGCAAGUAAGAAUCUUUUACCUUUACUUGAUGCUUAGUGCGGACGUAGUACGGCUCUUGGAUUCCAUACAUUCGUCAAAUUUGGGGGAAAAUAUCAGUAUUGUACAAGGAUUUUUUUUUUAUUUGGGCUUUCUUCGUUUUCUUCCUGGAGAGCAUUACAAAAUAUAUAUAUAUAUAUAUGAACCUUUUUUUUUUUGUUAAUGGUUCUUGUCACAACCAUGAGUCAUAGCAUGCCUCCAGGACCAUCAAUGGCUUAUAGAAGUACUUACAUAUUAUCCACCAAGGCAACACUCUAAUAUUUGUAGCAGAACUCGAACACACUCAACUUUUUUGCGAAUAAUUAAUCCGCCCUUAAUAAUUGAUCCAAUGUAUAUUUCCACGUAGGAAUAUAAUAGUUGUAUGCAAGACAAGCACAUAUUAGCAUGAGUGAACUUGAAGUAGCUUGAGAGGACAAAGGACUCAUAAGUUGAGUUUAGUCAAGUGCAAAUCAGCUCCUAUAAUUUUUAUGAUACUUAGUAUAAAGUUAUAUGUGUUUGGUAUAACUGCCAAUUUAAUUGUAUAAGUUGACAAAUUCAAUUUACCCCUAUGUUGUUCUCAAAAGCCAAAUCCCUUUUUGGGCAAUGUCAAUAGUACAAAACUGGCCAGAGAAGAUGAAACGAGAGAUGGACUUCUCAGAACAAACAGAACAUUAUUCCUUCAACUGUGUGGUGCAGGGGAGGGAUUCCCUUUCAAGUACUAAUGCUACCUUUAUUCUGUCUUUUUUAUACAGCUUGGACCACUGAUUAAAAGAGAAAAAAGAAACCAUUGUUUACCAGUUGAUUCAGCCCUUGAUUACUAACAAAAAGGAAUCCCCCUCUCCAAAAGAAAUGAAAAAGAAAAUCAUGAUAAGAUCGGAUAAUUGGGCACCCAUCUUUUUCAAGAAACAGCAUACAUUCCUUAACCAAGCCAUUUAUGAGCAUGGUAUCGAAAUCCGUACAAAACGAAGAAGAAGGUACCGAGAAGGACUGUGCAGCCUUUGGAGGAUAGCAGAUUCUCCAUUUCUGAGCACUAUUGUUCUCUAUCACAAAGAAGAUGCUUUCUUGAUUUUCUCCGCAUGACAAAUGGAUUAAACAACCUGGAUCCAACUAUGUCUUCUUUCCCAUCAUAUCAGAUACCCUUUGACAUGGAAACUUAGGUUCACUUGGAGUUGGGGUGCAUUUACCAAAAAAAAAAACUUUUAAGCAGUAAAAAUACUUUCAGGGUAUUCGAUAACUAAUUUUUCGUAAUUUAAGCUGCCCAACUUUUGUUUGUUUGACAAAAAAAAAAAAACUUCUGUUGAAAAUAUUUGUGUAACAAGUGUUUCUUUAUAAUUCACCAUAACCCCAAACCCAAACGAGACUUAAUGAAGCUAAUUAUCAGUUCUUGAACUUUUUGAAAUAAGGUUAUAAGGGGCCAAGGAUGGAGCUUUUAUCAAAUCCACCUCCACCUUGUUAAAGUAUACAAAUUUUUUUAAAAUUUUGUUAUACUACAAUUUUGACCUUAGGCAAUUUGGAUGAGUGCAACUCGUGCAAUAGAAUAUUGUGAAGAUAUUCAUUUCCAAAUUAUCUCAAGCACCAGAUUUCACUUUGAAGCCUCGAGCCUGAUAAAAUAUAAUAUUAAUCACAUAUAUGCUGAUAGUAUAUGUGCUAUCAUCCAUGAUAAUUUAUCUAAAUUUGAAUUUGAAAUCCAAUUUUUACAUAUAUUUUAUGUAUCUAACUGUAAUAUUACAUACAUUAUUGAUACAUAUAAGAUUUACUCAAAAAUAUAAAGUAGCACAUUUGUUCUGUUAUUCCUGAGCAUCUUAAAAUUGAUCAAAUAAUUGUUUUCAUUUUUUUUCUCUCAAGAACAAAAUCCGCAUUGUCGAGCCCCAGCAUCCAACACUUGACAUUCUAACAUCAGAAAGUCACGUCACAGUGCCAACAGCAACUUGCAUUCUUAUCUUUGAGCGUGCAAAUGACAGCAAUUCUCCUCGAGUUAGUAGAAGAGAAUCAAACCUUGAGAGUUGGCUCGGGUGGUUUCGGGUAGACUAGUUAGGUCCCGAAAUCGUAUGUUCGAAUCACCUCUCUAUCGCUUGUAUAUCCUUGAGAGGCGGGGUGCACAGGCGUAAGGAAAUUAGUCUGGUAAAAUUGGGAUACUCCCUGUAUUAAAAAAAAAAAAAAAAAAAAGUAGAAGAGAAUCAAAUGAUGGUUGGGUACCCUCCGUCAAGAAAUUAAAGACUGAAAUGGUGGAAGAAAAAGGUAACAAAACCUGGGACAUAAGAUUGUAUCUUAUAUUACAAGCUAGAAUACUACAGAUAAUUUCCACUUUUGAAGUUUGUUCUGCAAAAAAAUUCUCCUUUCAUUUCAAUGUCUUGCAUACUUUGGAAAUCUUGGAUCCUUUUUUACAAUCAAUCAUCCAUAAUCAACCACGAAUUAAAGCUUGUGGAAUUUAAGAAGAUGCUUGCUUUAUUUCGAAGUACAUUAAACAAUAGGAGAAAUACCUAUUUUCAUCCCUAAAUUUUGAGUUAUGGACGCAUUUCUUCCUCAAAUUUUAACCAAUUUUAUUUUAAACACAUUUCUGACAUAACACAAAUAUUUAGUAUCUGAACUAUCAAUUUUUAACCAAUUUUAUCCUCAAAUGGGAAACUAAUUAGUAAUUUGAACGGAAAUUAGACACCUGACGAAUAUGAACCUCUUGACUGAAAAGCCUUGCAUGACUUAAAAUUAGCAAAAUAGGAUGGCUAUUUUUACUCUCCCAAUUUCAAUUUCCAUUCAAAUUGAUCAAUUUCUUGUUUGAGGAUGAAAUUGGCCAAAAAUUGAUAGUUCAGAUACUAAAUGUGUUAUGCCAGAAAGUUUGAGAACAAAAUGUAUCCAUGACCCAAAGUUUAGGGAUGAAAACUGGCAUUUUCCCUUAAACAAUAUGUAUUUUGAAACAAUUUAUGUAUUUUGAUAUUGGCAUUUCCCUAAGUAAAUUACAGCAAAAGUUCAAGCAUCGCCUAAUAGAACAUACAACAAAUCAAAUGAAAUUGAGAAAAAUCUCGUAGGAGGAGGGAUGGGGUUGUGAUCUUUAAAGCAGAUCAUUUGACCACAUGAAGUGGUUUAUCUAAUGUUUCAACUCCAUAUGCCCAUAACCACAGGAAAUUAGAAAAUUUGGAGCAAAACCAACAGUAAUAGCCAAUGACAUGUAGCACAUUCCCGCACCAUAUUAAUUAACAUGAAACUAAUUAAAUUUCAAAAGUUUCAGGUAGAUAAAAUUAACGGUAUCAAGAUCCAAAAAGGAAAAGAAUAAUCCAUGCACAGUGCUGUGCUAUCAAAAGUUUGCCUAUAAUUCUCUUUUAAGACAUGAAAAACAGAAAUUUUCAAUCAAUCAGCCACUUCUUACAUCUCUAUAAAACAGACCACUAUCCCAAAGUUUUUAAGAAUAAUAGCUUCAUGAUGAUGUCAAUGAAUUUGUUUCCAAAGUUACUCUCUAACAUACAAAUUUUAAAUUUGAAUUUAGUAUGAAACAUGAACAAAGGUGGGAAUAACAUUAAAAAAAAAAAAAAGGGGAUUAAAAGUAACUUUGACUAUACUAAAAUAACAAACAUUUUGAGACAUCCAUUUCUCAAAAUAGAAAGCAUAAUAUUUUCAAUGGACGGAGGAAGUAAUGAUUAACAAGAUGAGAUGUUUUAGCAAAGACACAAGCAAAGCUACUGAGCACACAUCGAAACGGACAUGGAAGUGCAGGUAAGCCACAGAAGAGGAUAAACUAGAUGAUGAAGAUCUCCACCAGCAGGCUGCAGCUCAUGCAUUUUCCAUCUGUUUACUGAAGCGUUUAUUCUGAAAACGCAGAUCUUAGAAGUUGCUACAGACCAUUCUCAGAAAUUUUGUUCCAAGGAUCUCAAAUUUCAUGACAGGCAAGAAAUUUAGUUGGAUCAGCGAAUAGAAACAAUUGACGGCAGUUCAGGUGAACUUAUCCAUUCACCUAUAAGAGCUUGAAACAAAGAUCAUCACAUUUAAAAACAGAACAGAUCAAAAAAUUCACGGAACUACAUGCACAAGACUUGUUGCAGAAAAAGAAGAUAUAUGUAUAGAAAUCAUUAAUCAUAUAAAUCUAUCAGCAGAGUCGAAAUAACUUACUUGAAAAAAAAAAUAAAGAAGGAAAAAGUAAAGGACAAGCAAUGUCAUGUCUAGAAAUCAUUAAUCAUAUAAAUCUAUCAGCAGAGUCGAAAUAACUUACUUGAAAAAAAAAAUAAAGAAGGAAAAAGUAAAGGACAAGCAAUGUCAUGUCUAACAUUACAAUGUAAAAAGAGAACAAAAUUGUUGCUUCAGGCCCAAAUUUGAUACAUGUUUUCAGCAACAUCGACGUCACAAACACUACAUUUUGACAAAGGAUCAGUCAUCCCUAUUGAACUGAAGUUGGAAUGACGGAGUUAUAAUGCUCACCAAGCCCAAAUGCAUGCCUAUGGUAUGACAGCAUAAUACUUUUAUUGGAUAAGCCAUUUCCACCUACAAAUUUGUACUCAUUUCCCAUCUCCACAUCAGGGAAGGAUCCAGAAAAUAUCAUGAUAUGUUUCUUCAGGCAAUGAGUUAGAGCACCAAGUUCCAACUGUCCUCCCCAUGCUGCCGUUGAUUCCACUUCUGUACAAUAAUUCUCAAACUUCUCUGCAAGGGUAUCAGUGGAUUCUCCAUCUGCCAUAUUCUCAGAGAGGAAAAAGGGCAGGAAUUCAGAUGCAUGAUUCCUCAUAUAUGAUGCCACCAUUUGCCGAAGUUCUUGGAAAGUAUAAGGAGAGGUACCUCCAGCCUGGAGGGCGAGCUGAUCCUCAACAGCUCGGUAAAGACAAUGCCCAUCUGGCUUUAUUUCAUUAAUGACCAAUCCAAGUGGCUCAAGUUUCUUUUCUAACCCCUCAUUUUCUGCAACUCUCUCACUGACAAUGUUACACUGCUCUUCUCGUAUUCUUUGCUCUCUGGCUGCUUCUUGUUGAGCUCUUUUCUCACGCCUCUGAACACUUUUGCUUGGUUUUGAUUUCUCAGUUUGAUUGGUGGCUGAAACUCCAGCAAUGGCCUUAACCAAAUUGUCAAGAUCUCCUUUAUCUUUCUUGUUGCUGCUGCCAUAACCUGCAGAAGCCAGUUCUUCUGCAUGUCUUUCUUUGAGUUUUGCUGAUAGAUUGGAUAUCUCUUGCUCCACUUCUUUCUUCUUAGCUUUCUGUUCAGCCUUGCUGCCCUUAGCAGCUGCCUUUUUCAUUCCCACUUCCUUAUUUUGUAAUUGGGAGAUCUCUUUCCUGCAGUAUACAUGAAUUAAAAUGCUUUUAUUCACAGUAACCAAUUCAAAACACAGUGGUUCUACUUAUCUGUUUCAAAAUAGGUUAUCAAUUACUAAAGCUUUAAUAUUCUUUUCUUUAAUUCAGGAAAUUGUUGUAGAAGUUCCCAAUGCAAAUCCAUCCACUUUCAAACUAUAUAUCAAUGGCAAUUAACAUAAAACAUCUAAGAAUGUAGAAUUGUUAGAGAGAGAUAGAGAGAGAGAAGGGGGAGAGAUAACUGAAUCAACAGUGGUACACCAUAUUCAAAAUUAGAGAACUGAUAAAGUCUAGACAAACAUUACAGCACCUAUGCCUAGAAAGCAUCUCCUCAAGGCUUUCUUCCUUCUUCACAGGCGUGUCUUCUAAAAUCUCCUCAGAAGGCUUACCCACCACCUCAGGUCCAUCCUCCAUCUGCAACUCUGAGAUUAAACAGGACAGCAAUAUUGGAAUGUCAGGCAAGCAUCACAUUUCGAUGACUAUAAUUUUGCAUUGUGAAAUGAAAGAGACAUUUGUCACUUGAUUAUGAUGUAUCCUUCCUUCAUGUCUUAAAUAAGCUAAGGGCAAGGAAUGAAAUAUCACGAAAGAUCCAACAAGUAGUAGUAAAUGGGUGUAAUGGCCCAUGUAUAUACUUCGUUCUUUUCAUCUGGACAUGCUCAAAUGGCAGUCAGGUUAACAGAGGUCAACGCGCCUUAAAUCAAGAAUUCUUAAACUUACAAGAACAUGCAACUAUUGCACAUUUAGUUCAUAGUCUAGACCAGGGGUGUGCAACGAAUUCGAAAUCGGUAAACCAGAAGUUUGAAAUCGGAAUUUUUCGAAAUUUUGACAUGUGAAUUGCCGACCGAAUUCAAAUUCGAAUUGGCCAAUUCCGAUUUCGAAUUCGAUUCCGAAUUCAAUUCGGAAUUCAGAAUUCGGAAUUUACCGAAUUCUUCCGAAUUCAUCAAAUUCAAAAACCUGUUUUCCAAUUUUUUUUUUAAUAACUUCUCACAAGUCUGCAUCACAAUACAGGCAACACCGGCAGUGGCAAGCAGAAAUAUUAAAUGAUCAGUUUCAUAUUCUGAUGACUACGGAUUCUACGAAGGCUGGCUGUGCAGAUGCAUCUUUGGUUAAAUUAAAUCUAGCAGUUGGUUCAAAAUGGAACCAACACAAUCAAGUUGCUGCAAGGAAAUCAUCUUGAGAACGGCCAAAAGGUCGAUUGAGGAACAUGGCCAAUCGAACUCCACCCUGAGACCUGGGAAGGCAACAACUAACGGUGGCAAUAGCAGUCGCAGUAGCAGUAACUUAUACAAAGUCCAUUUAUUACAAUACUUAUACAACCAUUCCAAUCCACAAGAAUAAAAUAGCAGGCACAUAUGUUCCAAUAAACUGCAUUUGGGAAACUGAAAUAAGACCAAAACUACCAAAAUUGACUAAUUUUUAGAUCACCUUCUUAAAAGAUAUUGCUUUUAUUGAAAUUUCGCAACUACUAGAAUACUCACAAGCUGUUUGAUGAAAUGCCUAAGAAAAAUAAACUAGAAACACAAAUUAAUAACAAUUAUAGCAUAGCCCCUAUUAAGUAAAAUCACCAGCGUACAUCAAUUUGUCCUUGAAGAUGAAGGCUGAUGAUGGCUUGAAGAUGAAGACUGUCGGGCUGAUGAUGGCUAGCUUGAUGGCUUGAAGAUGAAGGACUAGAGUGAGAGAGAGUGAAGAUGAAACCUGAGAAAGUAGGAAAGCUGAAGGCUGAAGGCUCUUAGUUGAGCUCCUUCUCGACUGAAGACUGGUAGACUGGCGGCGGACUCGGCGGAGGAAGGAAGGUGAGAGUUGUGAGACUGGUAGACUAGCGGGGGAGGAAGGAAGGAAGACCGAAGACUGGAGCUUAAGUGCUUAACAGAUUAGGUUUUGCUUUUUUGUCCUUUUUGGAGGUUGUUUUGUAACUUUGUUAAUUGGUAGAUGUAUAACGUAUUAUUGUUAAUUUGUUAUUAUGUUAUAUAAUAUAAAUUUUAUAUUACAUAUAUUGUAAAAAAAUAUUCUAUUAUAUAUAUAAAUAUUAUAAAACGAAUUCGAAAUUAGUUUUCCGCUUUCGAAUUCCGCAUUCGAAAUUCCAAUUCGAAAUCGGAACUACCGAUUUCAAAAACUAUAUUAUCGAAUUUGAUCCGAUUUCGACUAAUUCGAAAUCGGAAAUUCCGAUUUGAAUUCCGAAUUACCGAAUUCGAAAUUCCGAAUUCAAUUCGAAAUCGGUCGGUAAAUCAGAAUUUUUCGAUUUUGCACACUCCUAGUCUAGACUUAAAUUUUGACCUUUACACAUUUCAAGGCCAUAGACAUGCUCAAUAGAUUAAAAGGUCCCGUUUCACUAAAGACUUUAACUUCAGUUUUCCAGUUUACGUCCAGUGAGGAUAGUCCAUAUUGUAAUCUCAACAUCAAAAGAUUCAAGGGAAGGAACACCCAUCAAUAAAGCCAUAUAAUUGGAAAAUGUCACACAAUAAUAUAACCAAAAGUAAAGGCUUGAUAACAGAACACCACAAAUCUCAUUAACCGGAUCAUGACUUACUGGCAUGAAAAGUAUUGGGUGACAACUAUCAGCAUAGAAAAGUACUAAAGCAGUUCCAUUCCUUUUCAUUUAUUUACUUUCAAGAGAAGAAUGUUAUACAAUUAAAAAAAUUUAUGCCAUUUCUCAGUUUUAAGCUCAUCUUAUUGUGGUCUCAGAGUUUCUAACAUAAAACCCUAAGCUUCUUUAUGAUUUCUGAGUGAUAACAAGCCAAAAGUAACUAAAUGUAGAUCAGAUUAAGUCAAAGCUUGUAAAUUUACAUACAUAAAAAUACACAUACUUCUGAUCCCCUCAUUUUCCACUAUAAUUCCUAUAAUCUUCUUCAGUAUUUAGCUCGCAUUGAUUUUAGAACAAUUGAGAUGUAAGUUUAAUUCACCUAUAAUAAGCACGUCCUUCUUACGACUAAGCAUUUUUCUCCAUGAAUCUAACAUUCUACGGCAUUGACAACACACGUCAUGGUUUAGAAGAAUGAGAAAGAGAUCAAAUAUUUAGGGCUCCUAUCGUCCGCCUUAUAAACUGGCUUUGAUUAUUUUGAUGAUCAACAAGUAAGAGAAUCAACUACCAUAACUUCUUCCAUCGCCCCUAUUACACUCUCUGCAUUUUAUUUAUGCCCUUGCUUAGUUCUAAUUUCCUGUUUGAAUUCAGACACAAGCAGCAUCUAUUGACUUUAUCAUCCUAAGCUGCUCUAAGACACUGCACUAGGGGCCUUCUGACCACCUUUCCUGAGACCAACUGCCAACAUAAUUGGUGGAUCUCUCUGGUCCUGGUGGUGAAACUAAAUGACUCACAAGACCAGGUUAAGACAACCUCAAGCAGUGCUUCCAGCCAACAACAAACACUACUCAAGACUUCGUUUAAAGUGUUAGCACUUAAAUAAACAAGCAUCGUUUAUUGCUUUGCAUUAUUAAAGGAACCUAAUUGAAUAUGGAUAAAACAUCCAAAAACCCUAAACUUGAAAACAAAGUGCAUAAAAAGUUGCAGCUGAGCUAGCAAAGAAAGGUUUGUCCACUAUAAAUCAAAUGCAAAUAGACUUGAAUCAAUCUGCACUCUACCGAAUGAAUGAUUUCUUCCAUACGUGUUGCCAGUAACAAUUCAGCACUACUCUUCCACCGACAAAUGUUAUAAAAGUAAACAUUCUUUGCCAACAUCCUCACUUCUCAAUUAGUCCAAAAAAUGACCAGCUAUCCUAAAUGGGUUUUUAGUAAACCUUGAUAAAGCCCUUGUGAAUCAUGUAAAUUAAGACCUCAUAUUAACUUAAAAAACAACUCAUACUUCACUGGAAUACGCCUAAUUAUUUGUAGCAAAUUCUUCAAUAAUUUCAUAACCGUCAACUACCCAUCUCUUCAAUCUCAUUAUUAGUUUAGUUUCUUUCCAAUCUGAAGUGCAAGUGGAGUGCAUAAACUGGAACAAAACCAAAAUUAUUAACACAAAAAUCAAACUUUGACAGCGCCGAUUCAAUUUCUAUUUAAUCAUCAACUUUUUUCUUUUAUUUUGAGCACAAAUGUAACUUUAUUUGAUAAGAGAACACAUCAUACACAGAGAGGACAAACCUCAGUAACAAACUGCUGAACAGCCAAAAAACCAUGAAAAAAAAAAAUUACCCCCCCCCCCCGCCCACCUAAAUUAAGACAAAACACAGUACAUAAUAGAGGAACUACUCAAAGAUAUCAAAAGGUAAACUUCAUUCAAUAGCUAGUCCACAAUUCUCACUCAUGCGUUCACCUUAUACCCCUCCACGCUACAACCAGGAAAAAAAAAAAGGAAAAGAAAAAUUAAACAAGAUUCCCAGACUUCCACAGGUAUCCAAAUUUAUAAUUGUACCCAAGUUGUGGCAAGCAUUCAGCUGAAUUCAGUAAUUAAUAUGCUUUCUUCAUGAUAAUUCCACGGAUAGAAAAGAACAGAAAAUUCGAUAAAUAUCUAAGACUGUAGAAUAAAUAAGCCCAUGAAAAGAGGCGGGAGGUGAAGAACUGACUAAAAAUAAAACAAAAUAAAAACCUGGCGGUGGCGGUGGCGGGCGGCGGCGGCGAAAGAAGAAGAGGGAGGUAGGCAGAGCAGAGGCGGGACAAAGACCACGGCAAUACUAAAAACAGAAGAAACUUUUAUGCUGCCAUAGGAUUAUAUAAUAUUACGAGUGGAGAGGCCCAAAGUGGUCCAAAUUGGUGUUUUUAACCCUAAGUUUCUUAAAUUGUUCAAGACUAGUCCUAGUAGUUAUUUUUCUAACAAAUAAUAGAGGUCAAAAAUAAAUUUUCUAACAAAUAAUUUUUUAAGUGAAAAAUUAAUUACUAUUUUGGCUGUCCAAGAAACUUUUAUCUUCCUGCGGAGAAAAACCAAUUGAGGAAAAAAUUUUAAAUCCACAAUAUAUAUACAUAUAAUUGGUCCAAAUUGGUGUUUUUAAACUUAAGUUUUUAAAAUUGUUCAAAGACUUCAAGUAUUAUAGUCCUACUAGUUAUUUUUUAACAAAUAAUAGAGCUCAAAAAAAAUUUUCCUAAAAAAUAAUUUUUUAAGUGAAAAAUUAAUUACUAUUUUGGUUUUCCAAGAAACUUUUAUAUGGUUUUAUCUUCGAGUGGAGAAAAAUCAAUCGAGAAAAAAACAUGAAUCCACUAUGUAUAUAUAUAUACACACACACAUAUAUUUGAUCCAUCUAUGGAAUAACCAUAUAAUUUUGGUAAUUUGUUGUUGUUAUUAUGGAUAGGUGUAGUAAAAUUGAAUAACUAAAGGAGAAAGAUUUUAAUUAGAAUAAUCUUAUUGAAGAAACAUGGGCGCAAAAAGGUCAAGCAAGCAAAAGAGAUUAGUGAUUAGAGCAUAUGAGGUACACGAUAUCUAAUAACACAGAGCUGAUGAAUCAACCUAAAUUAUAUUCACUGGGUUGGGCUAGAAGUCAGGGGAGAAGGGUCCUCAGAGCCCUAUCUUAUAAUCAUCUUCCAGUUUUUUCAGUUUUUCAUAUGACCUCACAAAUUUUAUUUCAUGACUUUAUAAUUUUCAGUAAGUUCCAAAUCUUAACAUUGUCUAAUUACUCAGAAUAUUUUAUGGCUAGUUGCCUUUUUUUUUUCUAAUCCACUAGACCACUGGUACAAUUGCCAAGAAGUUAAAAGGUAAUGAUAUGGUACAGUUUAAGGAGGAAGAUAAGAAUUUGACGUAACUGUCCGAUACCAAAACAUACUUCCAAGUUCCAACAUGCAUUGAAGGAUCUUAGACUUCUUGAAUGACAACUUUCAGUUCAUCUGAGAGAAGAAAAAGAACAAAUCAACAGGUUUAGGCAAAGCCCUCAGAGUGGCAAAUUUUCUUCAGACUCAAUGCUGAAUCCCUUGUCAGAAAUGAAUUCCUGGUUUGUGACUGAUCAAGUGCAUUGUUCUCAUUCUUAAAUCAUGUUGAUUGUUCUUCUCCACGAAACUGCCAUAAUUUCAUGUUUUGAUCACCCUGCUGUUUCAAUUGCUUCUAUGCACUCCACAACUGUUGCUUUCUUUGACAUUGCAGAGAUUAAUGCUUCAUGAAGUGCCUUAUUGUUCUUAAGCAGUGAUCCAGAAAAGAGUACCUACAAUGUAGUUUUCAGGAUUAAUUGUGUUGGUAAGUAAAUGAUGAGCUCAUUGCUUGCAAGACUUGGUACUAAACACAAAUCAGACCAGGCUUAAGGUGAUCAGUUGCAUAAACUUACUGCCCAUCUUGUGAGGUUUUGUUGCUGAUCUUUGCUAAGCUGCGGCUUGCUCCUAUUUAUAAAUCUCUGAGAGCAGGGGAAGAAGCCAAAUCAAUGUAACUAGAAAUCUUUCCAAGGAAAGUGCAUUUUCAGGAAAUCCUUAGACCUGAAGAGUGAAUAGAUCAGCAGAUUGGCCAACCACUUUAUCAUAUGUUAGUCCCUCUGCUGCCAAUCCAGCCAUUGCAACUACUGCUAACCUGAGAAACAUAACUAAAGUUUAGUUUAUUAGUCUUUCAAAAAAUCUAUCCUUAAAACUUCAGUUGAGCUUUGGGAUAGGAAGGUUCAGAUUCGUCCAAGCGGAGGAGCUUUGAUUUAUUUCUCCACCAUUUGAACCACAGCUGGUCCAAGGUUCUUCAAGAUUAGAAGGACAGAAAUACAAGCCAUUGGACACUUCAGAGACUGGUGGUAAUUGCCUUUAUGUGCAGUCCUAUAAAUCCACCCAAGUUUUGACAUGAAAAGGAACUUUCAAAAGCUCCAGUGAAUGAGAAUCCUGGUUCAUUACCUUGUGAUUGUGUAUCAUUCUGAAUUACCUAUUUUUCCCCCAAUAAGAAGUGAUUCCCUUCUACAUACAAGCUAAUUUAAUAAGGACUUUCAACACUAGGUCGGUUCGUAGUAUUCUUUUUCACCAUAAACUUAGGAUCUGAAGUGUUGCUGCAAAACUUGAAUGGAACAGUAUAACAUGAAAUAGACAUGCCUUAACGGUUAUUUCGACUCUUCUUCAAACAAGAACAUCACAUUGGCUAGAUAUUAAAGAGGAAAUGGGAAUAAGAUAAUACACUUCCCAUUAUAUCAACAGGCUCUAGUAUUAAGACAAAGAUACCUGUCUAGUUCUUUGGCAUCAAGCUGUCCACUAUAUAUCAGCUGUUCUAGUUUUUCAUCAAUGAGAUUGACAUGUUCUUUUCCAAUAUCCAGUGAAUACCCGAGGAUAGGAAGGCCAAGUAAGUAGGCAACUGCAAUUUCAACAGCGAAUUUUGUCAUGCCAAAGCAAAAUAUUUGGGGUACACACAUAUUUUGCAAAAUUGUACGAGACAGCAUCCACUUUCAUCAUAAUUUGGAGACCACCUCCUUCUCUUUCUCCUCCUUCCACACUGCGGUCACGUACAACAAAAAUAAAAGAAUUCCUUGAGGGAUUUAAUUUCUCAUCCCAGCUUAAGCUUUAUGACUGAGUAUUGUGGCUUAAGGCUCCCCCCCCCCCCCCCCAAAAAAACAAAAAAAAAAAAAAAGCAUUUGGUGGAUUAAGUUUUACAUUUCAGAUUCCUUUUAUACCACUAAAAUCUGAAGUUCCACAGCAUUUGUCUGGUAUUUCAUAAAACAAUAUAUAGACAAAUACUUCCUUACAUUUGCAGAUCUACAUUUGCCAUACUGAAAAAGAUGUUACCUAAAAAGUGAGCUGCCUCAUGUCUAGCAAUCCUCUCCUGGUAAUCAGGAAAAAAUGAUGAAAACCCACCAAUGGCUGCCUGAAGGAGACUAUAUCAUGAAUACAUAUCAGCAUUUGCUGUAAGACUUGCCUUCACUCUUAUCACUCCCUCUCUUCUCUCUACGACUAAGCCUGUCUUCUGACCUUGUGUCUGUGCUUCUUUUUUUUUUUUUUGUGUUUUUGCAUGUUGAAUUCUAUCGAUGGUUGGGUGUACAGUGAAAGUUCUGUGCCUGUUACUCACUAAUCUCACUUGUCUUCAGUAGACAAUCAUGGAAAAGUUAACUUUUCACACUUCACAUCUAUCAAGGGCAUACGAAAAGAUGUAUCUUAUGACUUACCCAGGGGAAACGCUCCCAACUGCCAGAACAAUUAAAGAGAUGCUCCCAAUUAAGUAUGGAAGAAAGAAACCCCAAUCCUGAAAGAGCAUAAAGAUGAUGAUCAUAUACUAUGCAUCACUAGACAAUCAAGCAAAAAACUGCAGAAAUCUAACAAAAAGGAGGUGACUUAGUGUCUCAAAUUCAUACAAUGUACUUCAAUUUGUGGAGCUUUUGCACCUAUUUACCUAAUAAAGCAUAAAAUUGUUUAUGGCACCACUCAUUUACUAAUAUAAGUCGCAUUUUGAGUGGUAAUAUCAUUAAUCAUAUGCUUUAAGAUCAAUAUUACAGUUUUUUACUGUUAUUGUAGCUUUAAGUUCACCAGAGAAGGGUGCUCCAACACAAUGAUUAAGGCUUGAUUCUCAUAUACAUGAGCAGAAAGAUAUUCGCCUGCAUGAUUCAUCUAUCUAUGCUCGGGAGUAGACAAAAUAAGUAUGCCAAUGGACAUAAAGCUUACCCCAGGAAGCUGGCUAGUGAGAACACCUAAAAAACCAGUUGUUCCUACCACCGUAAAGAGAAACGCUGCCUGCACUACUGGAAGAAUUAGUUAAACUAAAAUGAAUCAGAACUACUGUAAAUUUCUUUGAGGAAAAUUAUGAAAACAUAAUCUCCAUUUUCUCAAGUAAUUAUACAUAAUGCUGCAAAGAAAACAUCAGAGCCAAUGCAUCAAGGUUUUAUGUUUGAAUUCUGAGCCAAAUUAAAAUUCUUCUUAUUUUAGAUAAUGCAGAUAUAGGACACACCAAUAUCUCUAUUUCUUGAAGAGCUACAGAACUGGUUAAGACCUGCAAGGUGGCCUUAUAAGUUGAGACCUUUUUUAAGCAUUGAAUAUGCACUUCUAUAUAAUCAGUGGAUGUGUUUGAGAAUAUGCAUUUCACGACAAACUUACAUCAUUUCUAACACUUGGGAUUGCAAGGUUCUCUGCAUUUUUAAUCCCAAGGGUUGUCAACUCUCGAAGAGAUGUCUGCGACAGAAAUUUCAGAACAAUUGUCAUUUUUCUGCAGAUGAAAACAAAAGAAUAUUUUAAGGAAACAACAUAAAAUAUAUGUUUUCAGAGUACAUGUAUGCACAGAUUUGUAGAAGAUGUUAAUGCUUGAGUAGAACUUUCCCAUAACUUCUCAUUCUCAGUUGAGACUGACCGUACGGCGUGAUACAUAUGGCUGAGAACUCCACCUUUUCGCCCAACCAACUUCACUCAGCUGAUCAAGUACUUCUUUAACUGCAUCACUUUCUUUCUGCAGCAUGUCAAUAGAUGAGAACAAUAUCAAACAAAAUGUAACUGAGGCAUUGCAGAAUUCUAAUAUUUUUCUGAUCAAAUGGAUAAAAGAAUGGAUUGAUGUGCACAAGCAUUUUAUCCUAGUAGCGACUUGUCAUACCAUAGCAAAGAACUGCAUCUGGACAUUUAACGGGUCCAAAAAUGCUUCAUAAAUUUUAAAAAUUGAACUCGUUUUUGGUUAAAUUUGCUGAAGAUGCCUUCAGGCUAUAUCAAUAGCUAGUGAUGUGAUAGACCCUAAAAUUGUUUUGCAUAUGCCUAAUAAAAGAAGGGCUAAGAGAAGAAUGAUCUUGUGAUACAGUAACAUUUACACUGGUCGGAUAACCAUGCUGCAAUUUCACAACUUAGUAAGAAACUAAGUAAAAUGCCUUUUAAUACUAGUUACAGAUUCGUGGCAGGACCAAUGAUUGGCCUCAGGAGUUAACCGUUAGCAUUUAAUAUGUGAAUAUUAGUGGUACGAAAAUCAGAGAUGGACAUUAUUAUUCAUGUGCAAAUCUUGUGUACUUUCUAUGUUUUAAAUGUGCAUACAAACGUUAACAUGUGUACUACUAGUUUUCCUGCAAAUCUGUAAACAAAUGUCGUCUGCUAAAGGCAAUAACCUAUCCUCACUCAAUCUCAAAUAAAUUUCUCAUAACCACCGUUACCAUUUAGCUGCCUACAGUUUUACAGUGCAGAACAUUCCAAAAAGAAUUCUGCGAAGAUUUCACUCUGAAUCGGUUUCAAAAAUGCCAACUUUCCAUCUGUCCGUAUAUGGAUUCUCAUAAUAGUCAAUAAUUUCUCCAAAAGUGAAAAGUCAGACCAAUUCAAUGCUCACAUUUUAUCUAAAAUUAAAAAAUGGAAGCAAAAAUUAGUAAAAACACCUCAGAUGACAACAAUUUUUCCAUUUAUAUCCGUAAAAUGCACUAAUAAUCCACAAUAAGAAAAACCCGCAUGGAGAAAAAUAAAGGUUGAAAAACAAAUUUCUGUGAACAAAAGACUAACCUUGGAAAUUGCAGAUUCAAGAAUGCUGAGGUCCACACCAGAAGCAGCUGAUGAAGAAGCUCUUAUCCUCCAACUCAUGGGAUGCCUGAAACAUGUUCGAUUAUUCCAACAUUGUAAAUUAAUAUGGGAAUGGCAAAACAGAGAGGAAUAAAGGGUUGAAACGGAGGUGGAAGCCAUGUUUUCCUCAGGUUUUCUUUCCUUCUUUCUGUCUUCUGUGAAGUUGGUCCGGGACUCGGGGUCUGGGGAUAAGGUUGGCGGGAGGACUUGAAUAUACGGUUACAAAUGUACUAGUCUUUCUUUUCCCCCAUAUGUAACCAUAUGGACCCUUUUUUAAUUUUUUUUGGUCUUAAUACCUUUUAUGACAUGUCCAUUAUUUCAAUUUGGAGAAAAGUUUCAUAGAGAACUUCUACAAUGGGUAAAAGAACCUGAAUUUGAGGGAGCAUUAAAGGGUCAUCUCAGAAAUACCUCACAGACAUUUCUACAAAUACUUUGUCUUAAAAAAAGAAUCUUUAUUUCGUCAUGUAGCAGAUUAUGGCUGGGAAAUGGGGGCAUACGUAUGCCUUUUCCGAGAGUCGGUGGUUAUUCAAUUCCUUGAAAAACAGUUAUCUAUUCAAAAAUACUAUUUUCUCCGUCCCACACUUUGAUAGUCUCAUUUCUUUUUUCACAAAAUUUAAGAAAAAAUAGUUAACUUUGUUGGAAAAGUAAAUUUAGAUUGCUAUUUUUCUAAAAUACCCUCACAUUAAAUAAAGUACAACUUUAUGGAAACUUGAAUUAAUGGUAAAAAAAGAAUCAACUCUCAUUAAAUGAGGUAGAUUUAUAGUAACAACAACUUACAUUAAAUAAGGGCAUUUUAGAAAAAUUAAAAUACAACUACAUUCUUCAAUUGGAAAGUGGACUACAAUUUGGGACAGACGAAGAUGGGAAAUGGGACUGUCAAAGUGAGACGGAGGGAGUACUAUAAAGCACUAAGCAACCAAGAGUAUCCUUAUUGCCGGCGCAACAUUGGAUCAUUGAACUUACAAAUUUUCCUACCAUUAUCUCCUAAAUUUAAGACUAUCAAAUAGAACCCAUUCAACUCUUUUCGAUGAUGGAUAGAGGGAAACAGUUGGGGAGAGAAAAAGGAGAGAUUGAUGAUGGGGUUUGGUGGACUUGGUAGCCCCGCUGUAGACUGCGGCUGACGGAAGACACAAGAAAGAAAGAAAGAUUUAACCCGGGGUUAAAUCUGGGUUAAAUCUUUGCUCAUCUAUGAUCUAACAGUUUAGUCCUUACUGGUUUGUUUGAGCGCUUUAUUUAUUUUUCUUUUAAAGCAAACACAAAAGGAAAAUUAGAACCAGAAAAUACAAACCCAAAGAGAAAAGGGUAAAAAAUAAAAAAAAACCCCUUGUGGUAAAGUUAAUAUAUAGAAAAAUCCCCUAUGAUUUCAAAACGUACAACAUGACACCCCAUAUUUUGAACUAAAUUGUAAAUGUGACGAAAUCCGUUAAGUUUAACGGAAAUGAAUUAUUGGAACUUUAAAAAAAAAUUUAUACCUAAAUUUUAACAAAUAUACCUGUUCUACCCCUUAGCCGUUAAUUAUCUCUCUCUAGAGAAUAAAAUAAAUGAUUUUGUUAAGUUGUCUUUUGCUUAAUUAUAUCAGGGCAUUUUUAUCAUUUCGUCCAUUUCUGUUAAAUUUAACAGAUUCCGUCACCUUUACAAUUUAAUUCAAAGUAUGAGGUCUCGUAUUGUGCGUUUUGAAAUCACGAGGGGCUUUUCUCUGUAUUACGUUCACCACGGGGGCUUUUUUUUUUUUUUUACCCAAGAGAAAAUUAGAACCAUGUGGAACCACAGAGCAGAAUGAGCAAAAGAUACAAGAAGCACAUAUUCAUCAAACUGCUGCUUAAUCAAUUAUGGUUAAAACAACUCUAAUGAAUGUGUCAUUUGUAAGUAAAAACCAAUUAUGGUUACAACAACUCUGAUUUAUGAAAUUCGAAAUUAAGUUUUAACUUUGCAUAUGUCACUUACAUUUAACCUCCCUAAUGCAUACAUAGGCAGAUGGCGUUAGAAAAUUUCUAGCACUAAAUUACUAACAUAUUGUCUUUUAGUCCAUUAGAAUUCAUGGUUAAAAUAUGAAAAAAGAGAUAGAUUACACUUAACGAGAGUAAUCUAGAAUGGGAUUAAUACACACAUCGGAAUCCUUGCAUUGUGAGAAACCAUUUUAAUGUACAUAUUUGCAAAAUUGUAUAUUGAAAAUUGACAUUGAGCAGGAACCAUUUAACCUUCAUCUGCAAUGAUCUCAAAUUCUUCAUCUAUGAUUUGAUGCUAUGUGAUGGCAAUGUUAAUCUUGCUCCUUGUAAUAAAACGACUAGUAUGGAAACAUGUUUUUAGUCAGGAUAUACGAGAUUUUCAUGAUUUUAAUACUCUGAAUUUUGGUGAAAGAUUACUUACAAUAAUAAGUCAACAUUGUUGUAGCUAAAAUAAUUGAUAGCAAACCUGUUAAAUUUGUCUUUGUAGCUUAUUGGAAAUUUUACAAAGAAAUCUCUUCUUUUGAUGGUUAUAAAUAUAGUGGAUAUAAUUGAAUUUAAGUAUGCCAAGGGCACCAGUCCAAGUGCUAUAUACACUGGUCCAAAAAAAGUUUACAGAGGCCUACGCCUUAGUUUAAGAGAGGUUUUGAUUAGACAUCAAACUAAAAAAGUAAGUUAUGAGCCUUUGAUUCGUUAAGUAAUUUUUGCUAAUUAGACUCUUUUAUAUUUUCAAUUUUAGGUGCCUAAUUUUCUAGAUUUUGUACUAUCUUUUUGUUAUAGUAAAUUUGCUAUCUCUGUGUCUUUCUAUUUUUUUUUAUUUAUUUUGUUAUUGUCUUUAUUAAAUUGGCAAGAAUCCUAUUAUUUAAGCUUUGAUUAAUUUUCAGGGACCAACCUAACAAAACCAAUCCAACACCACAAAUUGCUUCAAAUAAUAAAUUUUAAUAAAUUACUUGCCAUCUACAACCCUAUCUUUCUAGUGGUCCAGGAAACAAGUACUCGAAGUCGAGGGCCAGGCAGAGGCUAUAUCCCUACUUCCAAACUUCAAUAUCCGCAAACUUCAAUAUCCACACACUUUAUCUCCACCUCCUUCCCACUCCCCUUUUUCUCCCAAACAACACACAACCUCCCAUCGAAAUUCACCAUCGUUGCGCCAUAGACGUACACCCUGCAACUCCUUCCAAACACCUUCCUCCACAUCAUACCCUGCAAUCUUCCCAAAAAUAUUACAACAACACAACACUCCCUGAACCACCGCAGGCUGCCGCCGACAAAUUAUUAACACGUUUCCGCACUUCCCCACCACCCCAACAUCAUACACCUCCCCACUUCUACCCGCCAUUGCAUAAACUCUCCCCUCCAUCACCACGCUCGCGUGCAUCCGCUUCAACCUCACCUCAACAGGGCUCGGCACCGUGGUCCACAACCCGGUAACCGGGUCAAAAACCUCUGCCCACUCCAUAGACUGAGCCGUACCAUCCACAACACAACCACCUAGAACAUAAAUCUUCCCAUCAACAACUCCCGCUCCGGCGAACUCCCGGGCCACCUUCAUUCUAGGGCCUUCCUCCCACCUAUUGAACCUACAAUCAUAAACCCACAUCGAAUUUGACGGAAUUCCAUCAAAAGCUCCCCCAAUUACGUAUAUUUUCGGGCCUAGGACAGCCAACGCGGGCCCUACGGGCUGGACGCGGUUGCGGGGAAGGGGAUAAAUGGGUUUUUAUGGGUUUUGGCAAGUAGGGACGAGAGUGUAUCAGUCGAAGGAGUUGUCGAUGCGGAGGUUGAGGUAAAGAAAGGUUUGGAUGGUACGGAGGCGGGGCCGGGCGGUCAAGAGUGUAGAGGAGGUUAUGGCGGAGUGCCAUGUUUUCGAGACAAGAGAGAGAUCACGGUAAUGGGAGCUGGGGACUCUUGCUAGGCAGUCGAUGGACACGUCGUCUGGGAGCUUUGGGAUCAGCUGGAGUUUAGCCGAUGGUUGUGGCGGCUGGCUGCCACUGGCGGCGGCGGCGGUCAUAUGGAUUGUGAAACUUGGGAAAUGCCUAUGUUGGUUGACUUGGUUGGUUGGUUGGUCGGUCGGUCAAGGUUGUUGCAGCUAAAUAUGUAUUGAGAUUUAACUGUAGAGACCUCCCAUAAGGUAAAAGUUAGACAUAAUACUUUGUAAAAAUUCCCGAAUGGCAUUUCCCAAGUACUAAAUAAUACCGGUUGGACUUGACAUUCCUGGCAUUGAGUACCUUAAAAUACGUUAGCAGCGUAUUUGGUCUCGAGCUCGAGGCUCGUCCAGCUCGGUUAAUUACUCAGAAUAUUGAUAAAAAAAGAUUAAUCGCACAUGUAUGGCUCUGACAAGGUUUUGGUACAAAUCUAUGGGUAUCGGGUUGCAUCCAAAAGGCGACUGAAAAAUUCUGACUCUAACACAGUCUGGCAGCGAAAUUUUUUUUGUUUUUUAAUAAAGCUGUAGGCUACCGGGCUGUCCGGGCUGACAAGACCCGGUAGCCGACAACCUCUGCACAAAGUUGGCUGCCGCGCUCUCCAAUAAAAUUUUUUUAAAAAAAAACUCCAAAGCAGUCAGCAGGGCUUGUGGACAAAAAGAAAAUGGUUGGCAGCUAAUGUUGAGCAUUUCGUGAGACAUGUAAAGCUGAACAAAAAAAGUGCUAGUACAUAGCAGAGAUAUGACAACCCCACCUCACCCUAAGGCGAACCAAAGAGUUCGGCGGGCCGCCUGCCCAACUCUCGCCGGGACUCAGUCGUUCAAUUUAGAGCGAUCUAAUACGUUUCGGGACAUACAAACGCGCGUAACCAAGUCAAGAUGUCAAAAUAAAAAAAUGAAACCGGAAUCGGUCAUGAAUAGUAACCGACACGUCAAAACCCAACCAAAUAUCAAGCAAAUAUUUACAUGUUGAAAUUUAGCAUAUACAACCUAAAGGGGCAUACCAAAGUGACUCAAAAGUGGAUACAUGUACGGUUUGCCAAAUUCAAAAGAGAAACGGACCCAAAAAUACAUUUAGGGUUUCAAUCAAUGAGCUAUACAAAAGAUAUGUCCAACUAGCUCAAUUCGGCAACCAAUUGUCAAAUCCAGUCCAAAAGUAUUUCUUUUCCUGUAAGGAAAAACAAAAAAAAAAAAGAACAGAAAGGGGGUGAGCUUGCGCUCAAUGAGGUACCAGACAUAUAGCAGUAAACUCAUGGCAUUUCACAUUUAACAAAUCAGGUACACAUGCCAGAUGUAAAGUAAAGGAACCAAUGAUUCAAAUCGGAAGGAUACAAGUGGCUCUCAAGAGCCAAAUUCCCAUUUGAGUCACCGAACCUUGAUCGAAAUAAUAGUUGACACUCCGUCAACGCUAAAGGAGUAACCAAUACCGUAGACUCCACUUUCUUCGAUUCCUUCCACCUCACAUACCCCUACCGGGCCCGAAAUCCAAUCAGAUCAGAAAUGGUAAUACUCGAGUAUACAGGAAUCAAGGGUCUCAAUACCCAAAGAUCCCAAAACAGACUACCGUGGUUCGUUAUCUAAUCGACCAGGCCCUUGCCGGCCCGACUCGAGUAACUGGCCACAGGUGUUGAGCUCAGAGGUCCCAGAAAAGUCGUUGGAUACAAGCUUCCAAACGACGUCAGAACAGAUACAGAUCCAGAUACAAAUAACAGAUACAGAUACAGAUAGCAGAUUCAGAUACGCACUCAAAAUUGGCAUAUGAACAAACAAGAGAACGAGUGUAAUAAAGUACACCCUCGCCUUCCUUUUAUCAAAACAGUAUUUGGCCCCAACAGUCAUAAAUCAAGUAUUUCAGAUAUUCAGAUAUUUCACAUAACGGGUAGCAAGUAGUGGAACACUCACCGGGGUCAGUACAGAUACCUCCCAAAAGAGAGCUUUAAUCACCAAAAAACCCUAAAAUAAUCCAAGGAAAACAAUUGAAGGUUCCACUUUCAAAAAUCGAGCAUAUGUGAGGCUCGACUACCAGUCGUAUGCCUCGCCAAAUAAUUACUAAAGCAAGGGUGCAAAACAUGAUUUUUGGAAACGAAAAGGUAACAUGAAAACUUAGGUUCAAACAACCCAAAAGCCCUUCGCUCAAAUCACAAGUAAAUCCAACUAGCCUUCAAGUAAAAUUUCAGCAGCAUAUCCCUUGUGUUUACCUAUUUUCCAGCCAUCAUGGCUUCAUUAUUUCCUCAAAUCAGUCCCAACAUCUCGUACAAAAAUAAUCUCAUUCCCAAAAGCCGUUCACUAGGCUUAAUGGCAUUCAAGUACAAAAUUUAGCUCGAAAAUGACCGGAUAUGAAAGUCAAGCCCUAAAUAAGACUCGAUUACAAAUCAUAAACCAAUGCCAAAUACAACCCCAAUAGGGUUCCAUAAGCAUAUACAAGCAUUAGGGGAAACCAGAAAAUCCAGAAAUGGCAUUAGCUUUAGCCCUGAAAAAAAUAGUUUUUGACCUCAUUUUGCAGUAAUGGCACCAAAGGCACUAAAAUUAUCGGAUUAAGGUCCAAAACCCACCGUUUCAAAGCUAAGAGAUAGGGUUACAAUAUUACAGAAGGUCACUCAACCCAGUUUCGAGUGUAACCAGGUCAAAAAUGCAAUCAACUAUACUAGAACCGCAAAAACAGAUUCACAGAACGCAUUCUAGUGCAAAUAUCAUAAAACAGCCUACAUAAGUCCAAAUCCAGAAAUUCCAAAGCCAUAUGAAAGCUAAGAAAUAGGGAUACAUUUCAUCAGAAGACCUCAACAACCAAUUCGGAAGCAUUCCUAACCAAAAUAACCAAUUACAUAAGCAAUUCCCAAAUUCGGGUAAAACCAGGACAGCAAGGGUAAUUUCGACUUUUCUCAAGCUACGCUACUCCGACUGACCUGAAAUUUUGCAGGAACUUCUAAAAUAUCAUUUCCUACAACUUUCAUGUUUUAAGCCAAAGCCAAUUCGGCCUCUAACUAUGAGAUACAAAACCGGGCAGAAUGAAGAACAAUGAAACCCUAAGUUUUCAAUUUCUUUCCAAAACAGCAAUUGCUUGCAAUUAACCACUUUUUCCACCUCCUAGAUCCCUUACAUACCAUUUCCAAUCAUCAUACAUAGCCACACAAUCAUAUUCAUAUUAAAAUAGAAAAAUCCCCAAUAAUUACAAAACUUCAUCAAUUCAACCAAAAAUCACAAUAUAAUCCAUAAAAUUGCAUCUUAUACUACCACUAAGCAUAAAUUAAGCAUCAUUAGAGGGAGGAGAGUGGUUCUUCAUAACUCACCUUAGAAACAAGAGAGAGAGAGAGAGCAACAAGUCCUCUUAGCUUUCCAAACAACUCCACCAAACCCCACACAAACACUCACUUAAGGUUUUCUAUGGAACAAAAGUAAGAUUAAGUGGUUGAUUAGUUGAAUUUGAGCAAGAUGGAGGCAAGAAUUUGAAGAGUUUUCUUUCUUUCUUUCUUGGAGGAGAGGGCCGGCUAUGAAGAGCAAAUUUUGAGUGAAUUUUUGAUCAAUUUUGAGUUAUUUUAACCAAAUGGUAAAAGUGGGAAUAGUAGUCAAAAAGUGCCACCAAUGUCCAAGUGACACUUGUCACUCUAUUAAUGCAUCUCUAUCCCUUUGUUCCCUCUCACAUCAAUCCAAAUUGCAACAUCUACUUAUCUCUUAACACCCGGUAAAUUAAUUUCAGUAUCCAAAACUUACCCUAGUUGGCCGAAUUUUACGGAACUUUCCGCACUAGUGGGUCCCACGUCCGAUAUACAUUCUUAUUUCUCAAAACCUAACCGAUACUAGAAAACUCAUCUAAAAACUCUAUUUACUCAUAAAAAUUAUCUAGAAAAUUGUCCGGAUACAGAAAGUGCAGAAAACAAGCCAUUGAAUAUAAUAAAACCCUAAAAUGAAAAAUUACGGGCUCUCACAAGAGAACUCGAAAAAAAAAAAAAGCUAUGUUCCACAAGAGUUUAGCAUCCCCUGAAUUGGCAGUUGUUUAUUUUAUUUUUUUUAAGCAACUUUGUAAUCUAGCCGUGCAAACGGACCGCUAGAUUUUGAUUGAUGCUCUAUAUAAGCACUGAGGAACUUCCUCAUCGUUACUCCGCGCCUCUCACUUUCUCCCACUCAGAGUUUACAUUGUGAGACCACAAGACAGUUCUUCGCCUGUGAGAAAAAGAGAACAUGACAAUUCUUCACCUGUGAGAAAAUGAGAAAUGUAAACUCUGAGUGGGAGAAAGUGAGAGGUGCGGAGUAACGAUGAGGAAGUUCCUCAGUGCUUAUAUAAAGCAUCAAUCAAAAUCUAGCCGUUCGUUUGCACGGCUAGAUUACAAAGUUGCUUAAAAAAAAUAAAAUAAACAACUGCUAAUUCACGGGAUGCUAAACUCUCGUGGAACAUAGCUUUUUUUUGUCGAGUUCUCUGCUAGGUACCAGCGCUUUUUUUGUUCAACUUUACAUGUCUGACGGGAUGCUCAACAUUAGCUGCCAGCCAUUUUUUUUUUUUGUUCAUAAGCCCUGCCGACUGCUUUGGAGUUUUUUUUCAAAAAAAAUUUACUGGCUGCCGGGCAGCUUUGUGCAGAGGCUGUCAGUCCGGUAGCCGACAGCUUUAUAAAAAAAAUAAAAAUUUUUCGCUGCCGGGCUGUGUCAGAGUCAGAAAUUUUCAGUUCAUACCAAAACCCUGUCAGAGCCAUACAUGUGCGAUUAAUCUUUUUUUGGUCAAUAAUCUGAGUAAUUAACCGUCCAGCUCUUGAAAAUUCAAUUUAAAUUCGAUUUAAUUAUUAUUUUUAUCUUUUUAAGUUCGAAUUCAAUGUAUUGUAUUCAACUCAAAUUCGACUUAAUGUAUUGUAUUUUUUAUCUUAUUCAAAGGGUUUGUUUGGAUAGGAAAUUAUUCAAAAAAAAAGUAUCUAAAAUAAUACUGUAACAUUAUUUGUAAUGUAAUUUAUAUGAGAUAAAAAGGUGGUUGAAAAUUAUAUUCAGGGUAUAUAUAUAUAUAUAUAUAUAUAUAUAUAUAUAUAUAUAUAUAUAUAUAUAUAUAUAUGUAUUGGCAAAUCUUGACAAUCAAACAAACCCAAUUAUUGUUAUUAUACUAACUUUUAGUGUAUCAAAAUUUAACCAAAAUUAUUUCUUUUUUUGUAAUUGAAAUACUUCAUUUUCUUGCACUAAAUAAAUGAAAAUUGUGCAAUGAUAUCUCAUUGACCUUCUAAAAGGGCCAACUAACAAUUUAUGAUACUUCAUAUCUAUAGCAUAACUGUAGCGGUGGACUGAAACUUGGGAAAUGCCUUGGUAUAAAUGUGCAUUGGCAUAACUGUAUAUUUCCUGCAGAAACUGUGAAGAUUGGUUAUAGGACCAUAUCAGGCAAUGUUGUAAAAGACAUUAAACAUAUGUAUUUUGUUUGGGAAAGGAACUUGUUUACUCAUAAUUAGAGCUGCAAACGAAUUGAGUUGUUCGAGUCCGAACUUGACUCAAGAUCGGUGAACAUCGAGCUCGAGUCAAAUUUGAAUUGAUCAAGUCGAACUCGAGUCAAAUUUGAAUUGAUCAAGUCGAACUCGAGUUUGAAAAUACUAAUCUUGUUAGUUUCCGAGCCGAUUCGAAUUUGAUUAUAUAUAUAAUUUUUUAUUUUAAUAAUAAAAUUAUAUAUAUAUUCCUAAUAUUUUAUUUUUUUAAAAAAAAUUAUUUUAUUUAUUUUAAAAAAAAAUAAUUAUUUUUUUAAAAAAAAUUUAAACUCAAACUUGACAUUUUGAACUCGUCGAGCUCAAACUUGAAUUUGAACGAGCCUCAACUCGAUUAGACCGAAAUUCAACUCGUUUGGACCCUUACUCAGAAUAUACACCCAUGAUGUGAUCUAUAUUGGGUACAUCAAAAUGUGGGAAAUGUAUCACAAUCUAAGGUGCAAAAUGUUGGGGAUAUUACAAAGAAAAUGGUUGAAUGAUACAAAGAUAGAUACACAAAAUAAAGAUUUCAAAUCUUGAUUCAAAAUCACUUUUCUUUAGGUUUUAAUUGCCCAUUAUUUGUGUGCAAUAGAACUUGGACAAAUUAUCCUUCACCAUAAUUUGAAAUUUGUUUGUCUUUUACUCUUUGCAAAGAUUUCAAAUCUUGAUUCAAAAUCACUUUUCUUUAGGUUUUAGUUGCCCAUUAUUUGUGUGCAAUAGAACUUGGACAAAUUAUCCUUCACCAAUUUGAAAUUUGUUUGUCUUUUACUCUUUGCACUAAAUAAGACAAAUCCUACUUGAACUAUGGGCUGUUUUUCAAGAGAAUUCUAUAGCGUAGAAAAGUAAUUUCUAUACAUGAUCCAGAAGUAUUUGAAAGUUGCAACUUUUGUCUAAUGAAUCAUGUAUUUUCUCAGCCAAGUGAUUAACACCAGUGGUCUGAAGUUUUUUUAGAGGUUUUAGACACCAUUUCGAGGGGCAUUAACCGUCAAAACAUGAAAAAUUAAACAUUUUGACCGUCACUAAGGAUCCAUCCGCAGAUCAUACUGCAUUUCCAAUGGGCGCUCAUACUCUUGCAGAAGGAUCCCUACACUCGUAUAAUCACUGUAAAAAGGACCUUUUGUGGAAGUUACUCGUAUAUAUAUAGCUCAGGAUUUACGAAUGAAAUGUACAACAAUGGUCAAAAUCACUGAACAUGCAGCUGUAUUUGAAUUAGAAUGACUAUAAACAUAUGAAUUUGAUCCUAAGUGACAUGCAGUUGUACGAGAGCACAAGAUUUCCAUCCAGAUGAAAGGUUUAACAAUGCUGAAACCAAUAACUAAGGGAGUAGAAUUUAUAGUACCAUGCACGAAUAAAACGCAUGAACUGAACUUUAUCGGAUAUCCAACCGGUCUAUGCAAUUGGGAAAGGCAGCAGGCUGGAGAAGAAUCGAAGUACAAUCAGACUGCAAGAAUGUGAUAGACUGUAUCUUAACCGUCUCAUGCAACAACAGCAACUGUGCUGUGAUACUGGAGGACAUACAACAACUGAGGGAGUUUUUUGAGCAAUGCAACUUCUCUUUUAUACAUAGGGAAGGGAAUGAAGUGUGUCAUAGGCUAGCAAAGUUUGCCUUGAAGCUAGUUAAUGAUGUAUAUUGGGAAUCAUGUUUCCCUGGCUGGAUUAAAGAUCUAGCAAGAAUAGAUUAUGAGAGCAAUGAGCUCCUUUUGUAAAGUGCUCUUGUAUUAUCAAGUUUAAAUCAAUACAAAUGUUAUCAUUUUGACAAAAAAAAAAAACCGGUCUAUGCGAGCACAGUAAAUUAAUUUCAAAUCAGAAGGGAAAAGAAAGGUACAUACAAGAAGCAGGACUGGUCCAACUUACAUUGCCAGCUGCAGAUGAACCCUAUAUGGUAUAUACACAUAAUAACAUUACAGAAUCUAGACAG